rnacentral:lncRNA from 1 species
UUUAUGUGACGGCUAGACUGCUCUCACUUAUGUUACUAACCACGUGACGGUAGAGAGCCAAUUGGCAUACUAUUAUUUUGACGGUAGAGUUAUAAAUUUGUUUCUAAAUAGAAAACUAUUUGCUGGAGUCAAUAUUUUGAAGACCAAAGUCCCAAAUUCUCUCUCGUGCCUGGCCAGCAUCCUAAACCUUACUGGUAGCCGGAGAAUGGCGUAAAACGGCGGCGAUCUUCUUCUUCAUCUUAUUCUCUCUCUCAUCGUUUCAGGUAAGCUUGUGAUUAUGAGUUUCUUCGCUUUCUUAGCUUGUAAUUAUAGGUUUUGAUUUCUUUAAUUCGUUUUGUAGCCAUUAAUGUCAAUUUUUGUCCCACCGGCAAUGUUUUUUGUUCCUAGAAGUUGAAGCCCUUCUGUUCUUGUGCCAUUGGUGAGUUUGCUCACUCAAAUUAAUUUUGUUCUGCGGAGUUUACAAAGUUCAAAUGGACUCAUUUGGAUUACUAUUGAAUUUAGCUUUAAUUCCAACAUCCAUUCUAAUGUUUUGCCAUUAGAUUUACUUUAAUUUUAUCUUUAAAGCUUCUACAAUGAAUAGCGGAGCUUGGGUUUUAGUUUCAAUUUCUAAUUAACUUGUUUUAGUUUAUCUUAUAUGCUCGCCAAGUGCUUGUUAUAUUGUCUGAUAAGUUAUAUAACAUUGCUGAUUCUAUAUUAGUAAUGUCAUGUUCCAUUUUCGGAAAUUAUAACACAAAAGUUUUUACAAUGGCUUGCAUCUACAAACUGAAUUGACUUGUAGAGUAAGAGCUUGGAUUAGUGUUAUGUUCUUGAAUAAAUGAAAGUUCAUAUUGUGUAAGAGCAUGUAGAUGUAAAGCAUCACUACCAUUUCUACAAACUGCUUUCAUUCUGUUCAGAUGCUCCUCUUGAACUUUGAAAGGUGCCUCAUUCAAGUCCUAGCUGUAACUACUAGCUCUGAUUGCUUAAGUUCCUGUGCUAGCUGAAACAGAUUUAUUUAAUUAAUUAAUUGUGUAUGUACUAAUUAUAUUGAACGUAUAUGAAGAAAUUGUUUAACAUGAAUGACUUCUAAAUGACUUAAAAGCCUAAAGGAUAUGUGAAAUAAUGCUCAUUUCACUUGAACGAGCCUAUUAAUACUUGUAUGUCUGAUGGUUGUCGAAGCCAACAAAAAUAAAUUCAUACUCUAAAUAAAUUGUGUAUAGUGAUUGAGCAAGGUCAUGUCCACAGAGAUCGGUAAUUAUUUAAAUCCUUUUGAAACGUAAAACGUAAAAUGGGGGAAUUGUUGACAAUAAUAAAAAUCAAAUUAAAAUAACAAGAAUGCAAAUUAAAGUUGUAAUUCAAAUUAGAGAAAGCUCUGGUUGAAGGAAUUAAUUCAGCUUGAUUCGACUACUGAUCAUUGAUUCAAAUAUAGAUUAUUAUUACUUAUGAAUAGACCGGUUAUAGCUACUGAGACCCUCUAAUAGCCAAUCUCUCCUUAACUAGUCGAUAACCAAGGUACGACUGUUGGUUAUUUCCCUAAUCAAUAGACAACCCUAGAUACGAUCAUAGGAUUUAAUCAAUUGACAGCCUGAAAAACCAGAGAGACCCAAAUCCUAAUCAACACAUACGAUGAUUCAUUUAAAUUAGAUUGUUUAUUCUCACAACACAACUCUCUGCUAUGUUAUUUGUCACAAACAUUAAAUUCUUCAUACGAUGAAUCCUUUAAUUGACAAUAGAUUAAGUUGAUAAUUAAAUAGUGGCCAAUUACCUAAUUAACAAACAUAAUCAUGAAAAUAAUUCAGAGAAUAAACAAAUACCCAAAAAGUAAUAAAACAAUUAAAGCAUAAAAUAGAUCUCACAAUAGUGAUGAAUCAAAGCUUCAUUAUCCUUCAACCAGAAAAAUAUAUUUAGUUCUUCAUAGAGAGAAGAGAAAAGUUUAGAUCUAGGGUUUCUUUCUCUUCUCUUCAAAAGUCCCAUUUUUCACAAUAGAUUCCUCUCUUAAAUACUCUCUCUCUCUUCUCCUCUAGAAUUCUAUUUAAAAUAAAAUACUAAUAUAUGAAAUAUUAAAUUCGUAAUUACAAAAAUAACCAAAAAUACAAAACACGUUAAACUAAAAACUGUAGGUCCGUAGUUGCAGCACGCGCCCACGCGUUAUCAACAAAGUUCUUCUGACGCUCAUAAUUUCUCCAAGAAAGCAAUCAUCUUUAAACAUCAUCUUAUAGCUCAAUUUUAUCACAAAUCAAUAGAAUUGCACCUACAAAAGUAAAACACAAGUAAAUUAUCAUUAUUAAGUGCAAAACAUCAAUAUUAAGGGAAGUAAACAAUGCAAAACUAGUGCAUAAAUUGCACUCUAACAAAUUCCCCCACACAAAGAUGAUGCUUGUCCUCAAGCAUAUAACUCAAGACUAAUCCCAAAUCUCCACUCAAUUCUCAUCUCAACUCAUCCAAAAACAAUUUUAAGCAAGUAUACCUCAAGAAAUUAAGUCGAUCAACAUUCGAGAGACAAGGAUUUUAAAGCAUAGAAUCUCAUAAGAUAGAAUAAGAACAUUCAACCACCAAGAAGAUCCAUUCAAAAUUCAAGUGCAACAAGAUUUAAUAGCCCUCUCAUUGACCUCACUCCAUGCACUCAAAGUGUUUAGGGUGUCAUUUAUUCACUCAAAUCAAAUCAAAGAAUGUUAUUACCAUAAACUUGCUUAUAUAUCACAUCUCAAUCCACAAAACAUGAAUUAAAUGCAAAAAUCUAAGGGUCUUAAAAGGUUGUAACGGGGUUAAAUGGGUUAAAUGAAAAAGAAAAGUUUAUGAAAGAAAAAGAGAUCAAAAUGAGAAGAAUGAACUCAUUGAACGAACUUUAUGAUAUCGAAACGCUUAUUUCUACACAAGUCACCAAGAAUGUAAACAUUUUUUUUUCUUUUUCUUUUUUUUUUUCAAUUUUUUUUUUCGAUUUUUCUUUUUCUUUUUCUUUUUUUUUUUGAAUCAAACAAAAGAAACGAACCUUGCACAAUUUAAUUCAGGCAUAAUGCUUGUUGAUCUAAUUGAGAAACUUUAAUACAAGGUAGAAAAAGCAACAAAAUAUAUACAAAAUAUAUCCACACAAUGAGUCCAAAAAUCUCCUUAAAUUGAGGCUCAAAAAGAAGAAAAAUGGUUAAGUAGACGGAGAGAAUUAGAUGGGUAAUGGUUAAGGCUCAAACAAAGAUAGUAAAUCAAGGUCUUCGGGUAGAGAAAAAAAAAUGCGAGAAUAGAAAAAUGGUAAAUGGUUUGCCCUUAUCAUUUUAAUGCAAAAAAUCCGUAAUGUGGCUUCAACAUGCAUAACAAAGCAAGUUCUAGAAUAAACAAACUAAGAUUGAUAUUCACAUAACAAAAAUAAUAGAGCAAAGUGGUUGCUCAUAGGCUCAAAUCCUCACAAAGUUGGUAAAUUUGCCAUCAAAUCAUGUGCACUCUUCAAAUGAAUCAACCAUCAAUAGUGGUGUAGAAUGAGAAGAAGGUAUGAUUGAGAUAUGAAAGGAAAGGUAAAAAGGAUAAUAAGCGAGAAAGAUGUAUGUAGUAAAAAAAAUGAAUGAUAAAAUGUGAGUGAUGAAAGAGUAUGAUAGAAUAAAAAUAUAUGUAAAUAAUUUGAGGUAGAUGGGAAAAGAGUAGUGAGAGAGAAAGGAAAAGAAAAUUAAUAAUAUAUGAAGCAUACUAACUCCAAAAUCAUUUAAGGAUGAGUAGAGUGAAAAUAAUAAUUCCAAACAUCAAUAAUGUAAAAAAAUCCCUCCCCCACACCAAGAACUUACAUUGUCCUCAAUGUAAGAUAAUCAAAGCUCACAUAAAAAUUAAAGCGUAAGGAUAAAAGAUUAAAGACAAAAAAAAAAAAAAACUUCCCUGAAUUAUGAGCUUUGAUCCACAUAACGUCUAUGGGCUUGGCAGAAAUGGUGGGGUAAAUCCCACACUCUCGAAGUAUGCGGCCAAAUUCUGCUCCAUCUUGUUCAGCUUGUGCUCCAUUUUCUCUAACUGAAUGCUCAAAGGUGGUGCGGAUGUAGAAGGAAUAGUUGGCGGGGCAGCAGUGUCGUCGUCAAACUCGUCAUCAGAGGUAGCACCACUCCUAGCAUAAAGCUUCUUCGGAGGUUGAGUGGGUCCUGGUUCAGUAAAAUGAAAUCUCCCCUCCUUGAAUUCGACCAUACCUGUUCUUUCAAACACAGACAUAUCCAAAAAUUCCUUUUUGCAAGCAGGAUGCAAAUCAUUAUUGUCAGGAUCAAGCACACAUAGGUUUAUAGCUAACAGAGUAAUGUAUGGACCAAGAAAUAAAGUUCUAUACCGUUUAAGCACACUUUGAAAUUGAUCCGCUAACCAAAAACCUAAAUUAGGCCUCACAUCAUUUAACAUGCACCAGAUAAAAUAACAUUCAGUUUUAGAGAAAACUCCUGAGUGAUCUUUCUUACCGAAAAAAUUAUAUGCUAAGAAUCGAUGCACACAUUUCAAAACAGGAUCACGUAAGAAAGAACUCUUUGAUUUACUCGGGUCAUAGGCAUUGUGAUCAAUAGAUAAAUUACGCCAAAGACCAUAAGGCUCAAAAUUUUCGCUAAAGUCACAAGUUGUUCCUAAAUAUGCAUCACUAGAAGAAUAAUCAUCAUCAAUGAAUCCUAAAGCUAGGUUAAAAUCCGUGAUAGAGUGUAAAAAAUUUCGUCCCAUUAACCUAAACUUAAUGACAUCCGGGGUAUGCAAAGUAAAAUCAUUCGGCAUAUUAAAUUGAAAAGUAGCAUAAAACUUCCUAAUCAACUCAACAUAACCCAAACAAUCAACAUCAACAAACUUAUGUGACCCAAUCUUAUCUAUCAAAGAAUCAAAAUUAUCCUUAACAUUCAAUUUUUCAAGAGUCGGGUAAUGAAUAUACUUAGCUGGAAGUAUUUUGCGCGUGGAAAUAUCUUUGUACCUCUCUUUCUCUUGUUGAGUCGCGAAUGCGAGGCACUCUUUGAGAUUGGAUUCCGCAAGUGGCAAAACACUCAUGCCUUUUCCAUGUUUCGAUCUUUGUCUCACGGCUUGGCGUGAAUAUGAAAUUGUGUUCCAUGGAACCGUAGUGGGAGCGGCAAUCUUAGAUUUCUUUGCGACGAGUGUCUUUUUAGAUGACUUGGAAGUAGAUGCUUUCCUCUUCGGCAUUGUUACAAUAAUUGCACUCACGGAUUUCGAUUUACCUGGCUGGAAUACAGGGCGUAGGUUGGAUCUGCGUUGCGUUGCUGCUUGGCUGGAGCUUGCUGCGCAGGUUGGGGCUGGUUGCGCGCUGCUGCUGGUUGUGUUGCGCGCUGCUGCUGGUUGUGUUGCGUGAUGCUGCGCGCUGCGGGUGGAAUUGGUUGCGCGCUGCUGGGGCUGGAUUCGGGUUGCGCGCGGGGGCUGGGGAUGCUGGUGCGCGCUGCGGGUGGGACUAAUGCGCUGCGCUGAGGCUAAUUCGCGUUGCUGGGGCUGCGUUGUGGGAUGCUGGUGCUGUGUUGCGUUGCGCGCGGCUGCUGCUGCUGCAUGGCUGCGGCUGCUGCUGCUGCGGGUGAAAACGAUAAUCAACAGUGAAUUUUUAUUUUAUUUUUUUGAAUUAGGGAUUUAUGAACAGUGAUUUGUGAUUUUUGUUUUUUUUUUGUUUUUUUUAAAUAAAAAAAAUAUGUAUAUAUAAAAGAAAGAAAAGAAGGAAAAAAAAUAAUAUUUUUUUUUUUGUGAUGAAUCACUUUGAGACACUAAAAAUUUCAGAAGUACUUUUCUAAUAAGCACGUGGGCACGCCUUAAAACCAUUUUAUUUUAAAAAUCACAGAAGUACUUAUUAGUUAAGACGUGGGCACGCCUUAUCAAAAAUUUUCUUCUGACCAAAAUAAGCAAACACAUUAAAAAAAAAUGAAUCAAAAUUAAAAGAAGAUAUAACAAAAACCAAAAUAAAUAAAUCAUUUGGGUUGCCUCCCAAAAAGCGUCUUUGUUUUAUGUCUUUGGCUAGACACAUUUAUGCAUCAAUCUCCAUAAUUGGGACUCUCGAGAGCCACAUCCUCCACAAUAUUCACAAAAAAACCUUCAUAAAAAGGUUUUAAGCGAUGACCAUUAACCUUAAAAAUUUUGUCAGAGGUCGGACUUCGAAUCUCAACUGCACCAUGAGGGAAAACAUUAGUAACAAUAAAAGGUCCAACCCAGCAAGAACGUAAUUUACCCGGAAAAAGUUUAAGCUUAGAAUGAAAAAGAAGAACUUUUUGACCAACAGAGAACUCCUUUCUCAAAAUCAUUCUAUCAUGAAAUGUCUUCGUUUUUUCCUUGUAAAUAACUUCCUGCACUAUAGGGUUAAUAACAUCCACAGAAAAUACCGAAUGUUCCUCACUAGGAUAUUUCAUGGCAUCAUUCAUAUUGAAUUCUAUAACCUCUCCAUCAAACUCCAUAGUGAGAGUCCCUUUAUGUACAUCCAUUUUAGUCCUAGCAGUCUUAAGAAAAGGUCUUCCUAGCAAAAUUGGGACAAAAUUGGAGGAGUUAUCCUCUUCCAUAUCAAGUGCAUAAAAAUCAGCAGGAAAAACCAACUCAUUAACUUGUACUAAGACAUCUUCUAAUACCCCAUCAGGAUAUGCAUUAGACCUAUCAACUAGUUGAAUUAUCACGCCAGUUUCUUUUAAUGGACCAACAUUCAAAGAUGAAUAAAUGGAACGAGGCAUGACAUUAAUAGAAGCUCCUAGAUCUAACAAAGCCUUUUCAAUUCUAACACUACCAAUUUUACAAGGGAUAGUAAACAUACCUGGAUCCUUGCACUUAGAGGUAGUUUCUUUUGGAGAACUGCUGAAACAUUCUCCCCCAUGUGAACUUUUUCAUCUCCUCUUAAUUUUCUCUUAGAGGUGCACAGUUCCUUAAGGACUUUAGCAUAUCGAGGUAUUUGUUUUAUAGCAUCUAAUAAAGGAAUAUUUACCUCAACCUUGCGAAAUGUCUCAAGGAUGUCUUUCUCUUGUUCCUCCUUCUUGGAUAUUGCAAACCGGCUUGGAAAAGGAGGAGGUAUCACAAUAGGUAGGGGUUUCGCUCUGGUGGGUUGCGCAUCUUGAGAUUUAGGCAUCAAUUCAUUCUUCUCAAGCUCAUCUUCUACAUGCUUUGUCACUUUCUUACUAGGCUCUUGCAACUCCUUCCCACUUCUAAGGAUGACAGCACUAACGUUUUUCUUUGGAUUCACCUCAGAUUGUGAAGGCAAUCUCCCUAAUACUUGAGACUCCAGAAGGCUCACUGUAGUCGCCAAUUGACUCAUUUGGUUCUCCAAAUUCUGAAUGCUUGUUGUAGUUGCCUGCUGAAAUUGUUGAGUGUUAGUCGCAAGUGAUUUAACAAUUUCUUCAAGAGAUAUACCUGACUUAGAGUUUGAUUGUGGAGGUGCUGGUUGUCUUGGUGGAUACUAUUGUGGGAAUCCUGACGGCCUAACUCCAUAGCUGAAGUUGGGGUGAUCCUUCCAUCCCGGAUUGUAUGUUUAUGCAUAAGGAUCAUACCUCCUCUGAGGCAUGCCUGGAAAUCCUCCAACUGCAUUGGUUUGUUCAACGGGUUCUUCUUGAAGUGUAGGACACAUAUCAGUUGAAUGACCCAUAUUGUAACAAAUGCCACAAGUCUUCACCUGUUGCACAUUACCUACAACAAACUUUUCCACAAGAGAAGUAAGUUUAUCUAAACUUUGUCCAAUAGAAGAAAUAUUUACCUCAUUUACCUUCCUUGAAGUGAGAUCUUGCCUGCUGCCAAAUUGUUGUGCGUUGGCAGCCAUAUUUGAUAUCAGCUCCUUUGCUUGAGUAGGGGUCUUGUUCACCAACACGCCUCCACUAGCAGCAUCUAUCAUACUCCUAUCCAUCAAUGACAGUCCUUCGUAAAAAUAUUGAAUAAGAUGUUGAUCAGAAAUCUGAUGCUGAGGACAGCUGGCACACAAUUGUUUGAAUCGCUCCCAAUACUCAUACAAAGUCUCCCCAGGAAGUUGUCUGAUCCCACAAAUGUCUUUUCUGAUGUUAGCAGCUCUUGAAGCAGGAAAGUAAUUCUCGAGGAAUUGCUUGUUCAAACCAUUCCACGUUGUAAUUGAUCCAGGAGGCAAGUAGUACAACCAGUCUUUAGCUAGUCCAUCUAAAGAGAAAGGAAAAACACGCAGCUUAAUCUGCUCUUCAGUCACGCCUUGUGGUCUCAUACUUGAACACACAACAUGAAACUCCUUAAGAUGUUUAUGAGGAUCUGCACCUGCAAAACCAUGAAACUUGGGUAAUAAAUGAAUAAGACCAGACUUUAAUUCAAAAUUUACCUCCAAGUCUACAUAUUGAAUGCAGAGUGGUUGUUGACUCAAGUCUGGUUCAGCUAACUCUCUAAGAGUUCUUUCUACAGGUGCAGGUCUAUCUAUCAUUUGUUCUUCUGAAUCGCUAGAUGAUUCAACUAAAUCAGGCACUGUAUCUAUUUCAGAAAGCAAAGGCGACGAGGAUCGUUACUUAGCUCGCUUCGUCUGCUGUCUCAGCUGGCGAGCUGUCUUCUCAAUUUCAGGAUCAAACGAAAGUGUACCUGUACGAGAAGAACGAACCAUACACCAAGUAAAACGUAAAAAGGAUUAAAUAAAUGACACCAAUCCCCGACAACGGCGCCAAAAUUUGAUGGUUGUCGAAGCCAACAAAAAUAAAUUCCUACUCUAAAUAAAUUGUGUAUAGUGAUUGAGCAGGGUCGUGUCCACAGAGAUCGGUAUUUAAAUCCUUUUGAAACGUAAAACGUAAAAUGGAAGAAUUGUUGAUAAUAAUAAAAAUCAAAUUAAAAUAACAAGAAUGAAAAUUAAAGUUGUAAUUCAAAUUAGAGAAAGCUCUGGUUGAAGGAAUUAAGUCAGCUUGAUUCGACUACUGAUCAUUGAUUCAAAUAUAGAUUAUUAUUACUUAUGAAUAGACCGGUUAUAGCUACUGAGACCCUCUAAUAGCCAAUCUCACCUUAACUAGUCGAUAACCAAGGUACGACCGUUGGUUAUUUCCCUAAUCAAUAGACAACCCUAGAUACGAUCAUAGGAUUUAAUCAAUUGACAGCCUGAAAAACCAGAGAGACCCAAAUUCUAAUCAACACAUACGAUGAUUAAUUUAAAUUAGAUUGUUUAUUAUCACAACACAACUCUCUGCUAUGUUAUUUGUCACAAACAUUAAAUUUUUCAUACGAUGAAUCCUUUAAUUGACAAUAGAUUAAGUUGAUAAUUAAAUAGUGGCCAAUUACCUAAUUAACAAACAUAAUCAUGAAAAUAAUUCAGAGAAUAAACAAAUACCCAAAAAGCAAUAAAACAAUUAAAGCAUAAAAUAGAUCUCACAGAAGUGAUGAAUCAAAGCUUCAUUAUCCUUCAACCAGAAAAAUAGGUUUAGUUCUUCAUAGAGAGAAGAGAAAAGUUUAGAUCUAGGGUUUCUUUCUCUUCUCUCCAAAAGUCCCCUUUUUCACAAUAGAUUCCUCUCUUAAAUACUCUCUCUCUCUUCUCCUCUAGAAUUCUAUUUAAAAUAAAAUACUAAUAUCUGAAAUAUUAAAUUCGUAAUUACAAAAAUAACCAAAAAUACAAAACACGUUAAACUAAAAACUGUAGGUCCGUAGUUGACAGCACGCGCCCACGCCUUAUCAACAAAGUUCUUCUGACGCUCAUAAUUUCUCCAAGAGAACAAUCAUCUUUAAACAUCAUCUUAUAGCUCAAUUUUAUCACAAAUCAAUAGAAUUGCAUCUACAAAAGUAAAACACAAGUAAAUCAUCAUUAUUAAGUGCAAAACAUCGAUAUUAAGGGAAGUAAACAAUGCAAAACUAGUGCAUAAAUUGCACUCUAACAAUGUCUAUGAUUGUCAAUCUUGCUUUAAGUGUUUCAGUUAAGUGGUUUACCUAACAGGGAAAAAAAUUUAAUGGAAAACUUUAGAGUUCUAACAGAAAUAUAGUUGACUGCAGAUAUAGCUAUUUUGCAGUACAUAAAUUAUGUUGUCCUAUUCUCAAUGUCCUACGACCUAUUUUAUUUUAUAUGGUCAUUCAUUUUUGCGAUGGUUUUUUGUGCUUAUGAGUAUGGAAAUAGUGGGAUUUGGUGUGGCAAACAAAAAUAUACAUAUAAUCAAGUUUCUUAAUCAUGUAUAUUGGUUUUGGGUAUGAAUGUUUUCCUAUUCUAGUUCUAGGCAAAGUUUCUUCAUUUUGGUCUUCAGAUUUCCAGUAGGUUAAGUUAAGCAACUAUCAUAACUAGCUAGCUAGUUAUUGCCUGCCUUGUCGCCAUUACAUUGCAUGGCAUAAGGAAUAGUAACUAGGUGAUUAUUGGUGAUUCGUUGAGUUUAUUAUUGGCCAAACUAACAUAUUCGCCUUUACCCACAACUUAGUUUGAUUAGAUAUUAGAUAAUAAAGAGCCUUAAUCUAUGCAUUGCUUUAUUAUUUUUAUUUGGUUUUUCUUUCAACAAUAUUGUUGAUUUCUUAUAAAAAAUAUUCAUUGGUUUUUAAACACCUAAUCAUUGGCUAUGAUGAAGCUAAUUAAAACGAAGGCUUUGGAUCAAUUUCUUCUAACAACAUACAAAUGAGCAUAACCACCCCCUCCCCCCGAACCCAAAAAAAAAAAAAAAAAAAGGAAGACUUUGCAAGAUUCACAACCAGGUUACAUUUAAUUUAUUAAUUGUGUGUACGUACUAGUUAUUUGUUGAUAGAAUAGGAAGAAGUAUUUUAAUAUGAAUGACUUAAAACUUGUUGCUCAGUAAACAUAAUGUGCAUCAGUGCUAGAAAAUGUAUUUAUUGUUUGUAAUUUUUUAUGGUUUUGCUUAAGAAAUGAAAUGUGAAAAAAUGCUACAUUGUAUUAGGAAUAAAUUGAAGAGAUUUAUGAUUUUUAUGUGUUAUUCAAGUUUCAGAUUCAAUUUUAAACUUUUGAUACAUGCAUUGAAAGCUUAAACUCCUUUAAGAAAUUAUUAAUAGACACAUGUUUUAUUAGUGUCAUCUUUUGGAUGAUAGUGAGGAUCUUAUGUCUAUUAAUAAUUCUUGAAUUAUCUAGGCUUGGACAGUUUGGUAAUGCAUAGUUUUCUAUGGUAGCUAGUGCCUGAAAUUUUUUUCCCACGUAAAAAUGGGUUUUUCAGCAGCUGCUCCUCAUGUUCUCUGGGUGCAUACUAGACAAAUGGGUGUCAUGUGUUGUUUUGGCAUAACACAUAAACACUCAUAUAUCUAUGUCGCGUACUUGAAGAACUAUAGGGAGAUGCUUCCGAAGUUUCUAUAAACGUAGAGGAAAACUUUAGAUACUUAAGAUUGAAGAAACUUAUGCAUUCUUGAGUGGGAUAUAUAGGACCACUUACCUUUUGUAAAUAUGAAGGGAAUGUUGGAUAUAUUGAUGGGAGUGGAGGAGCUGAGUGGGAUGAAUGUAAUCGGUUAUGAUUUUGCUGAGUCGACUUGGUUUUGAGUCUUGUAAUUUUGUUUAUAAAUGGAGUACUAUCUCCAAUGUUGGUUUAUAAAUAUGUUUCAGCUGGCUGACCUAAUUUUUUGUUUCUAGGUAACAGGCUUUAUAUAUCUGUAAUUGAUAGCCAAGUGAAGUUCUCAGCAGUGGGUAACAGGCUUUACAGAAGAAUACUAUAAAUAAUUCUUGAAUUAUCUAUGCUUAUUGACCAUAGAUCAAAACAAUCUCUUCCUUUUCAACCCCAUCUCUGUCAUUGCUCUGCAUCCGUAUACAUAAAGUGAUAUGAGUCGCACUAGAGUUUUUGCUGUGGAGGAUGUUACUAAGUGUAUCAAUUUCUUGCAACCGAAAGCUACAAGUUUUGUUAGGUUCCCAAAAGAUACCGAUGAUGAUGGCAAUAGAAUUAACAGACUUUGACAAUAAUAUACUCUUAGAAUUUCAAGAUACUGAAAAAUGGGGGCAAGUUUGGAGUCUUGUUUGCACAGCUGCCUCAGAUGAUAGUGCCGGUGCAGCUUUAAUUCUUUUAUCAUUGCCAACUUCCCCACAUGUUUCUCUCAGCAUCCUUCCUUCGAAAAUUCCUCUUCGUUGAAUGAAAAAUAAACCAGUGCGAGUAUUUCGAGAUUGUGAAAUCUCUCCAGUACGUUCCAGAUUGGAAAACAAGCUGAGUCAUCUCCGGCAAUCUCUAGUUGUUUAAGACUGCCAAAAAGGUGUUGUGGGAAAUCGGCCUGCAAAAUCAUCUUCACAUCUUUUCCACUUAGUGAUAGUUCCUUCAAGUUGGGUACGAUCUGAUCAUCAUCAAUCAUAAUAACUAAUGAGGUCAAUUGAUGUUCUUUCAAAUGAUUUUGAGUAAUCCAAUCACGCAGUGACUUUAUAGUAUUUAUUUUAUAUUAAUUUUACCCCUAAAAAAAUUGAAUUAGUGAUAAAAUUCAUUAUAUGAUUUUUUUAUAUGUUAGUUUUAGAGGUAAUAAAGAAAUUAGGGAAAAAAACGAAAUUAUUUUAUUGCACGAUAGUAGACUCUUGCUUCUCAGUGCCUUUGCCACUGUAGUCAAGGCAAUGGGCAAACCUCCACACAACCUGGCGACGUCUGUUGCUGUAGAUUCCAACUCACGAUUUUCAACAUCAUCACCGGCCAUCAUCUUAAACAAUCUCCAGGCUUCUUCUUCAUUUAAAUUGUUAAUCAAGAAGUUGUCUUUAGAUCCCAUUUUUAAGAGGACGCCACGAUCUCUUGCUGUCAGCAGUAGUUUGCAGCCUUUAUGAUCUUCUCCAAAAGGAAUUCCAACUGUCUCCAAGUCAAGGUGCUUCCAGAUGUUAUCUAAAACCACAAGGAUCUUCUUCUCAUUUCUCAAUCGCUCAAAUAGUUUACAUGCUCUUCUAGAUUCAACUUCCUCGUGCAACUCCAGGCCCAACUUCUCGGCAAUUUCCUGUUGAAUCCUUUUUAUGUCUGGAAUUUGGGAAACCUCUGAAAAGACCACCAUAUCAAAGAGCUCGUCUUCCAUAGCUUGCCUGGCGACCUUCUUCACCAGUGUCGUCUUUCCAAUGCCGCCCAUGCCGUACACCCCAAUGAUGCUGACACUAACAUCGAUCAAUGCGUUUUUUACAACUGACUUCAUCAACAAAGCUUUUGUGAAUAUGCGUUACAUUACAACUGCGAUAUCCUUUCACUGUAUAUUCAUACAGUGGCAGGCCAUGUGACGUUGUGACCCAUGUGCUAGCUUUCACUAUUCAUAUUAUUUUUUUACACGGUGUUUAACAAAAUCUUCACGUAAAGAUUUCAGACGCGUGAUCCUAAUUCAGUAUGCAUUAUUUAUUUAUAAAAUGAAAAUAAAAAGAUAAAAGGAUGUGACUUAACUUGCUAUCAGUGCGGAUCCAGGACUUAAUAUUAUUUCGGGUUAAAUUUUAUAUUUUAAAAUUUAUAUUUUGAAGUGAACAUAAAAAUUUAUAAGUAGAAAGAAGUAUAUUAAAUGAGGGGAGAUAUGGAGAGCUUUAUCCCUAUGAAUAUGUAUUAUAAACGAAAAUAAUUGUAAGAAAAGAGUAGAAACCAAAAGGCAAUUCAAAUAUCAAAACAUUAUUUUUCAAUUAUGGAAUCCGAUAUUGCAACCUAUAAUAACAUGUAAUUAUAUAAGGAUUAAUAAAUCAAUUAAGAAUUUCAAACUAAAUUAGAUCAGUACAUGUGAUUAAAAUUAAUUAAAGAUUACAAGUAAAACUUUUUUGUUUGAAGUCAAGUACUAAAUUACCAAGCUUAAAUAAAUUUAAAAAAUUAAAAUUCAUUCAUUCUUUCGAAUUAUAAAAGUAUUAUUAAUAAAAAAUUUAGUAAUAAACUAAAUUCAAUUCAACAAAAAGUUAUUUGGAUAUCGUUGUUUCAUUGCCAGUGCACUAACUUUCUUUAUAGAAGUAGAUGUUGAUGAUUCUUCUAUUAAAGUUCCUCAAAAUACCUAAAUUUUAUUUUCUAACUUCUUCUCGUAGUUAAUGUAACUAAUAAAUAGAAUCUAAAAAAUCACAUAAAAUGUUUAUGAAAAUGUUGAUAAUUGUUACUAUUUAUUGUUUUCGUAAGUACUUUUAAUGCUAGUGACGAUGUUAUAUUACAUUGAUUUAUAUUUUUUUUCAAUUAGAAGUUUUUUAAAAUAAAUUAAAGCGAUAAUAAUACUUUAGCUCCUAAUGUUUUCAAUCUAUCCACUAAGUAUAUAAUUUAAUCAUUUUAUAAAAUAAGUCACUAAUUUCAAUUGGAAAUAAUACAAUUUAAUUAGGGAUAUAUUUGAAUAUAAAAUAAUAGCCCAAUUGUUAUACUAAAUUGAUGAAAAUAUAAGGGUAAUUGAGUUAGGGAAAUAUUUGAAUAUAAAGUAAAAACUCUAUUGUUAAACUAAAUUGAUGAAAACAUAAGGAUACUUGAGUUAGGGACAUAUAUGAAAACAAAAUAAAAACUCUAUUUUUAUAAAAAAAUUAUAAGAAAACAAGGUGUAUAAAUGAUUUUUUCUGUGCUAGACCAAGCUACAACCCAGUCUAGCCCAACUGUAGGUCCGCCACUACUUGCUAUUUACAUACAGACAUGUAGCCCUUAUUCUAAUAUCUAUAGGAAAAGACACUUAUACUCCAAGAUUUGAAGAAAUGGUCACGUAGAUCUCUAAGUUUUCAGUAACCAAAAUUUCUUUUUGACUAUAAUACUUUUUGUACAUAGUAAAUAAAAAAUGACUUUAAGAUUUUUUUUAAUAAAUAUAAAUAUAACUUAAAUAGUUUAAUCUGUCUAAUAGACUAAUAAUAUUAGAAUAUUUUUAAUAUAUAAAAUAUUUUUUAAAUAAAAACAUUAUAUUUAUUUUAAUAAUAUAUUUUUAUUUAUCAUAAAAAUAUCAAAUAAAUCAUUGGGGUUAAAUAGAAUUUAAAAUUAAUAAAACACAUCUCAUUAAUAAAAUAUAUCUCAUGUAGUAAUAAUAUUGAAAUUAUUUUAUAUAAUAUUUAAAAAAUUUAUAAAAUUUAUAAAAUUUAUAAAAUUUAUUUUAAUAUUAUGUUCUUAUUUAUUAUAAAAUUUAGUCUAAUAUAAUAUAAGAUUGUUAAGUAUAUAAAUAUUUUCCUAAAUUGAAGUUGUUUUAAAAUGUUAAUAUUUUAUGUUUAUUUCAAUAUUAUAUUUCUAUUUAUUAUAAAACAUAGGAGUCAAUUUUUUUGAGUUAAUAGAGUCAAAUGUAUUAUAGUCGAAAGAGGUAUUGGUAUUCCUUAUUAAAAAUUUAGGGGUCUACAUGACUAUUUGCCAAACCUUAGGUGUAACGUCCUUUUCUCCAAAAUUGAUUCUCUAUAGGUAUUUCAUGAAGGAAAAUGAUAUUUACAAUGAAUCAAACCCCGGACUAGUUAAAAUGCAUUAUUUCAGCUUAAAUAAUGGUAAAUAUUUGUUCAGUCUCUAUAUUUUGAAUUAAGUACCGUUUAGUCCCUCAAGACACCUUUGUCAGUAAGCACAAUAUAAUCCUACCCUUACUUUUUCUUUGAUUUUAUAAUAACAUGCUUGCAACAAUAUUCUUAGAUAUGUUAAUGUAAAGAAAAAUUUAAAUUUAUCAAAUCAGCCUUAAAAGUAAAAUACAAAUUAGUUGUUAUUAUUAUUAAUAAAAUAAUAAAAUAAUAAAAUAAUAAAAUAAUAAUAACAAUAAUUAACAUUAAUUAAAAUAAUAAAGUUAAUAUAUUAUAUAACAAAAAAAACAAUAUUUACAUUUAUCAAAUUUUCAUGUGUUUAAAAAAAAUUAUGUGAUAUUACAUUAUUAUCUUUACACAAUCAAUCAUUUUUAUGAUCAAGUUAGGCUAAUGGAUCAAGCUUUAAAAAAUUUAAAACAAUAGGAGUUAUAUAAAUAAAUAUUUAAAAAAUUUUGUUUUAUGAUAUUAUAAUAAACAGUAAAGAUUUAAGUCUUAAUAACCAAUUGAACACAUCUCAACCGUUGACAGUAGCGGCUCGACCUCUAGGCAACUUAAGCGGUUGUCUAGAGCCCCGCUUUACAUUAAGGUCCUAUGAAAUGAUUAUUUUGUAUAUAAAAGGGAAAAGUGAAUUUAAAAGUCAUUACUAUGCAUUUAAUUUGUUAUUAUUUUGUAAUUAUCUUUUUCUAAAUAAACUAUCAAAUUCCUAUAAAGUUUAUUUAAUGUAGUACUUAGUAGUUUUAAUUCCUACAAAACCGAUAAAUUAAUAGUUUCAAUCCUACAAAUUCUCUAUUUAAUUGUUAGAAUUAAUAUGUUAUAAUUAAAAAGUUUUAUAUUCAUUUUAAACCUCUAUAAAAGCCCCACAUUUUAUUACUUAUCUAUUAAAUUUUUCCUCUAAUAAUCAAGACACGAUAUGUUGUUAGUGUUUGAGAGAAAGAAAGACAGAGAUGGAAAAAAUCAUGCUUCCUCUACUUUCCACUCAAGAAGAAAAAAAAAAAUCUAAUAAUUUUCUCUAUACUCUAUGGCUAUUGGUCAUUACUUAAAUCCUCAAAUAAUUAAUAUAAAUAUAAAGUUAAUUCAUGAUUUCAUCUCAAAUUCCAGAUUUUAUCUUUUUAUUAUUCUCUUAAUUAGUUGUGUUAUUUACUUGUUCUUAUUUUUUUUCAAUAUAUUCUUUUAUUCAUCUACUUUUUUUUGUAUGCUUGUUUUAUCUAUUUUGAAAUAAAAUUAUAUCGAAAAACUUUAGAAAAUAGAAAAAUUAGUUUAAUCUAGAAAAGGAGUAGUAAAAAAGAUGUAAUUUGAGUUGAAGAACAAUAAGUGAAAAUAUUAUAAUUGAAUUAAAAUUUAAUAGAUAACCCUAAUUUUUUUAUAAGAACUAAUUAAAAUCAUUUGCCUAGGGCCCCAAAUAUGGUUGAGUCGGCCCUGACCGUUGAACACUUUAGCUAUUAGAUUCAUCAGUUGAAUUAGAAAAAUAUAAAAUUUGGGGUACCGUGCAACUGUUGCAAGGUAGGCGGACACGUUAUAUUUAAUAUAGAAUAAAUAAACUAAAUAUGUGUAAAGAAUAUAGGUUAUUAACCUUGCAAUACUUCAAAAAAUUAUAAAAUAAAAAAGGUGAAAUUUCAAAAUAAGGAACUGUAAAAAGUAUUAGGUUCUAAAAUUUUAUUAUUUUAAUAUUACAAAACUUUACUUUUUUAUAACAUUUUUGUUUUUAAUAUUAGUUGACAUGUUAGUUUAUUUGUAUAUAAAAUAUGUUAAUUUACCUAUAAAAUACUAAUAUUACUCUUGAAAUUUAAGGAAGCCAUUUUAAUUUUUUAAAAUUUUAAAUGUAGCCCAACAAAGUCAUAGAAAUAUAAAUAAAGAAUAGCAUAAAAGGAAGUUAGUUUAAUUUUUUGAAGAAUACUUCAAAAGCAUUUGAGUUUUAUGUUUCUUGAGAAUUAUACCUUUUUGUUUUUUAGAUAUUUGAGCUUGUGAAUCUUGUUGUAAUGAUAAUUUAUUAUUUAUUCUUGAUUAAAAAUAAUUGAAUAGUAAAUUUAUUGGUUUCUAAUUACUCUUUUAAAUGUAGGGCGAUUGCUUAAUUUUUAUUAUGUUACCCUAAAUUUUUUGAUGAUGGCUAAUCAACCACUGCAAAAGACUCUACCAUGAUUAUUUUUACUUUCUCUACAUCCCUCUAGACCAUCAUCACUCAAAGAAUUAAGAGUCCAUUUGGCAUACUGUAUUAUAUUAUACUGUAUUGCAUUAUUUAAUAUAGGUAUAUUGUAUUAUGUUAUAUUACAUUAGUACUAAAUUAUAAUAAUAUUUGUACAACAUUUGGUAAUUGGUAUUACAUUGUACUGCAUUAAUUUUAUAUUAAUAUUAUACUAACAUUAUUUAAAUUUAUUAUUAAUUAUAUUAAAUUAUUAUUUUUAUAUAAAUAUAAUAUGAUAUAAUAAAAUAAUAUGAUAGUAUAAUUUAAUUUUAUAUUUUUAUUUAUUAUUAUAAUAAAUAAAAAUAUAAUAAAAAUAUAUUUAAUGCUUAAUUAAGGUAAAAUAAUAAUAAUAACAAUAGUAUUACUUUAAACAAAAAAAUCUAUAAAGUUUAAAGAUGAUGAUGAUGAUGUUGACGACAUUAAUAAUAACAUAACAAUUAAAAUAAUAAAACAAAUAAAUUUUAAUGAUAUUAAUAUUAAUAAAAUAAUAAUAACAAUAAUUAAAAUAAUAAAAUUAAUAUAUUUUAAUAAUAGUAAUAAAAAUAAUAUUAAUGACAGUAAUAAAAUUAAUAAAUAAUAAUAAUGACUUAAUUAAAAAUAAUCAUAAUAAUUAAAAUAAUAAAUUUUGAUGAUAAUAAUAAUAAUAUUAUUAUUAUUCUUAUUAAUAUAAUAAUAAUGACAUUAAUAAAUAAUACUAAUAAUAACAGUCAAAUGUUUUUGAAAAACCAUUUUAUCCCAAAAAAAGGGACUUAUAUAUAAAAUUUUGUAACUUCUAAUGUCUAUUCAAUUUUUUCAUAAAAUAUAAGGUAGUGCAGUGUAAUUAAUAAAAAAGACAAAAUUCGGUGGUAUGCUGCAAUUGUUGCAACAUAGUUUCAUCUUUAUUUGUGAUCCUAAAGUUUGAGAUAUGUGAUCCUUAUUCUAUUGUGUCAAUUAUAGUCCAGUCCAAUGCCGCCAUCAUUAUCGAACAGUCGAUAUCCAACACUUGCACGAAGAUUCCAAGAAGUUGUGUGGCUGCCGACUUUUAAAUGCUAAGCCUUAUUGUGUCGAAGAUACACAAAACAGAGCAGUCCAGGUAAUUGCCAAAACUUAGAACUAAACAGUAGCUUAGUCAGAAAAUCAAACAAGUACCAAUAAAAUGACUGAUAAAAAUAUAAAGAAAUCAGUCAAAUCACGAAGAUUGAAGAGUAAAUCAAUGGUUUUAGAUUUUUAUUUUUUUUUUUAGAUAAUAGAUAUUAUUUUGAUGAAUUUUUUAAUAUUAGAAUAAUGUUAGGAAUUCCAAUAGUAGAAUUCUAGCUUAAGACCCAAUUAUUAUGUGUCAUUUUUUUAUUGGAUAAUGAAUUUCAUAACUAAUAAAAUUAAUAUUUCGAUCAUUUAAUAAAUGACUACCAUAUUAGUUGAGACUCAAUUAUUAGGAUCAUUAACAUUGCUCUUAGUAUUAAAUUGGACAUCUUAUCCAAAUCAGAUUAAAAAUCAAAUUAGAUUUUAAGCUUUUAUUCAACAUCUCCUUUUUUUUUUUUUUUUUUGGUCUAUUUGAAGUGAACAAAAUAAAAAUACAUUAGGGUCAACGACUGGGCAAUUGAUAGUCAAGUAUUUUGUUGUUUUUGCUACCUUGAAUUAAAUUUUCUCAAUUAGAUCAACAAGCAUUAAGCUUGAAUUAAAUUAUGCAAGGUUCAUUUCUUUUGUUUGAUGCAAAAAAAGAAAAAAAAGAAAAAAAAAUGUUUACAUUCUUGGCGACUUGAGUAGAAAUAAGCGUUUUGAUAUCAUAAGGUUCAUUCAAUGAGUUCAUUCUUCCCAUUUUGAUCUCUUUUUCUUUCAUAGACAUUUCUUUUUCAUUUAACCCCAUUACAACAUUUCUAAGACCCUUAGAUUUUUGCAUUUAAUUCAUGUUUUAUGGAUUGAGAUGUGAUAUAUGAGCAAGCUCAUGAUAAUAGCAUUCUUUGAUUUGAUUUGAGUGCAUAAAUGAUACCUUAAACACUUUGAGUACAUGGAGUGAAGUUAAUGAGAGGGCUAUUAAAUCUUGUUGCACUUGAAUUUUGAAUGGAUAUUUGAUAACUCUAGGAAAUGAGAGUUAUUACAUCAAUUCUAGACUUGAAUCAAGGUCACUUAGAGAACAAAUAAAGUGUUUUUAUUACAUUUUGGGUACCUUUUUGCAUAAACAUUCAUUUUAGUUGAGUCUAAUAAAUUUUGCUUGAAUCAUAGUAAUUUGUGCUAAAAACAGGUUUUAAAUUGUAGGUUUUAAAUUCGUGAGAGGAUGUUGAGGCAUUAGAAGAGCAAGAGGAGGAAGGAAGUUGGCCACAAAAGAAGUAAAGCACAAUCGGGAAUAAAACAGUAUUGUAGCAGCUGUUAGAGCAACCAGUGCUAUAACAAUCUUGGAGCAAUGCGGGAGAAAACUUAGGCGCGAGUCAGCCACAAAAUCGUGAUCUGCAUGUUUCCUAAUUCAAGCAUAUGCACGCUCAUAGGCUUUGGUUUAACCUAAUUUGCAAUAUAAAAAAGAGGCGUGCAGCACAUAGAAAGGCGGCAAGGAAUUAUCAUAAAAAAUAAUUACAAAGGCAAGAAGAAGGAGAUCAAGAUUAAAGAGUGCUAUUCGGAAACAAAAGGAGAGAGCCGUGCAGAAUUAUUUGCCUUUCAUCGUGCUCAACUUAUAUUUUCUCUUUUUCCUUGAAUUGUUGGGAUGUAUUCCGAGUUCAACAUAUUUGUGUUUAUUUUUCUCAUCCAGAUUAUGAACUAAAUUUACUUGUGGUUGAGUGAAAAAUAAUCCAAUGGGUUCUUGACUAUUCUUUUAUGUUGUUAUGGUAAUGUUGUAGCAUUAUACUCUAGUAGUUUUUAUGAAUACAACUGUUGUUUCGGUUCACCACCCAUUUAAUAGUUUCAGUUAAGAUAGAGCAGCAAAAGGGCAUGUCUUAGCGGACAUUAUUAGAGUAUUACUUGUUCUUAAGUCGAGUUUCCUGGAAUAUGUUAUCUUGAAUCCCAUAAGGGCAAUACUUGAAGUUAAGAUUUGUGACACUCUAGACAUAGGUGUUCACCUUGUAGGGUAGAGAGAUUAAAGGUUAUAAUGCCAUACCAUAAAUAUAUGAGCAACUGGUCAUUGUUAGUAGAUUUAAAAGUAUGAAAUUUCCAACAUGCGAUAGCUGCGGAUGCAGAUUUAUUCUACCCAUUGCUGCAGCACUUAUUGAAACAAUUGGUGCUAAUUUGGUAAACAACAGUCACCCCAUUAGGAGAGUUUGAUCAUUCAACUACUAUAUUUUCAAUUGAAUCUUAGACACAUUUAACUUAGUUUACUUCAUUACAGUAUUGUUUUAUUUUCAUCUCUCAUAAUUAUUAGUUACAGCAGAAUUAUUUGACAAUUGUUUGUUUCGAUCUUUAAUUGAUUUGCACUAUUGUGAUUGUUUUAGCAUUUUGAGUAACAGCAAUCCCUGUGGAGACGAUCUUGAAUACUCAUCACUUUAUUACUUGUUGUGUAUACUUGCACAUUGGCAUUGAUAAUAAUUGCUUAUAGAAAUUAACCAACAAGUUUUUGGCGCCGUUGCUGGGGAUUGAUUGUUUAUUUUUGAAGUGUGAAGUAAAUCUUGAUAGCGCCAAAUCUGAUUUGAUUUAUUCUAUUUAUUGGCAGAUCGGUACAUGCAUGUGUAAAGACAAAUCUGUGGUAUUCUAAUUCGAUCCUGAGAUUGAAAGGACUGUCAGGAGAUUACGAAGAGAACAAAGGAAUUCAGAAAUUGCUUCAAGCAUGAAUAAUUUACAAGAUGCAGGAAAUUUGAAUCCUCACGGGCCCUUACAACCAGUGAACAUUCAAGAAGAGCAGAAUGACCAUGCUAACGGGAGACAGCCAGGCAAUAACAAUAUUAUUUACAUGGCUGAUGACAGAGACAGAGCUAUAAGAGACUAUGUUGUGCUAACUCCUCAAGUUAUAUAUCCUGGCAUCAUCAGACCUGAAGUAGACGCUGCCAAUUUUGAGUUGAAGCCAGUGAUGUUUCAAAUGUUGCAAACUGUUGGGCAUUUUAUUGGAUUACCAAAUGAAGAUCCUCAUCUCCAUCUUAAAUUGUUCUUGGAAGUAAGUGAUGCUUUCAAGAUUGCUGAAGCAACACAAGAUGCCUUAAGGCUGCGGCUUUUCCCUUAUUCCUUAAGAGAUCGAGCAAGAGUAUGGUUAAAUUCGUUACCAUCUGAUUCCAUCACUACAUGGAAUGAAUUGGCUGAUAAAUUCUUAAUGAAAUAUUUCCCACCGACAAAAAAAUGCGAAGUUGAGGAAUGAGAUUACUUCCUUCCAUCAACUUGAAGAUGAAAGUUUGUACGAGGCUUGGGAAAGAUUCAAGGAAUUGCUCAGAAGGUGUCCUCAUCAUGGUAUCCCUUGUUGCAUUCAAUUGGAAACUUUUUACAAUGGGUUGAAUCCAAGUACAAGGUUAAUGGUGGAUGCUUCAGCAAAUGGAGCUCUGUUAUCCAAAUCUUACACUGAAGCCUAUGAAAUUCUGGAAAGAAUUGCCAACAAUAAUUACCAGUGGCCUUCAGCCAGGCAACCAGCAGCAAGAGGAUCAGCAGGGGUACAUAACAUUGAAACAAUUACAGCUUUAUCAGCUCAAGUAACCUCAUUGACUAACAUGGUAAAAGCCAUGACAGCUGCUCCAGCAACAGUAAAGCAAGUUACUGAACUUUCUUGUGUCUACUGUGGUGAAGAACAUGAUUUUGAUAAUUGUCUUGGAAAUCCAGCCUCAGUAAACUAUGUGGGUAACUUCAAUCGACAACCUCAGAACAACCCAUAUUCAAAUACUUACAACCCAAGCUGGAAACAACACCCAAAUUUCUCAUGGAGCAGUCAAAAUCGAAAUGCUCCAGCAUUGAAUGGACUAAGUACAAACACACAACCACUUAGUUUUCAUUAGCAAAGUCAAGGGCAAAAGCAUAUUAGUCAGGAUCCAAUCACUUCACUAGAAACACUGAUUAAGGAGUAUAUUGCAAAGAAUGAAGCAAUUGUGCAAAGUCAAGCUGUAUCUUUAAGAAACCUUGAGAACCAAAUGGGACAACUAGCUACAGCAAUGAGCAGCAGAACUCAAGGAAGCCAACCUAGCAACACAGAAGACCCUAGGAGAGAGGGCAAAAAAGAAGUUACAACACCAGUAGUUACAACUUGCACAAAAUCAAACAAACAAAGUUUAAUAUCCCCUGAAGUUACCCAGCAGUUUAGACAUCCACCACCUUUCCUACAAAGGUUCCAGAAGCAAAAAUAAGACAAGCAGUUCAGCAAAUUCCUGGAAGUGCUGAAAUAAUUGCACAUAAACAUACAUUUUGUGGAAGAUUUGGAGCAAACGCCAAAUUAUGUUAAAUUUCUAAAAGAUAUCUUGGCACGAAAAAGAAGGCUGGGAGAGUUUGAAACUGUUGCUUUAACACAAGAAAGCAGUCAUAUGCUCCAGAGCAAAAUUCCCACAAAAUUGAAAGAUCCAGGGAGUUUUACAAUACCUUGUUCUAUAGGAACUAGAUAUGCUGGCAGAGCACUUUGUGACUUGGGAGCUAGUAUUAAUCUGAUGCCAUUAUCUGUAUUUAAGCAACUGGGAGUAAGGGAGUGCAGACCAACAACAGUCACUCUGCAAUUAGCUGACAGAUCUCAUGCAUACCCUGAAGGAAAGAUAGAGGAUGUAUUGGUGAAGGUUGACAAAUUCAUCUUUCCAGUGGAUUUCAUUGUGUUGGACUUUGAAGCCGACAAAGAGGUACCCAUUAUACUUGGAAGACCUUUUCUAGCAACUGGAAAAACUCUGAUAGAUGUGCAGAAAGGAGAGCUCACCAUGAGAGUGAAUGAUCAGCAAGUCACAUUUAAUGUGCUAGAGGCAAUGAGAAACCCUAGAAGAUUGUAAUUUCCUAAGUGUAGUGGAUCUUGUUGUAGCAGACAGAAUGGACAGAUGCUGCAGUAAUAUACUUGACAAAGUCACCACCUUUGAGGAUGUUGAAGAGGAAGAUGUUGCAGCAAUCCAAACAGAUUGGAUGGACAAACAACAAUCUGAUAGGUACAACAGGUUUAUUGAACACCUGAAUCUUUUAGACAUGGAAGUAAAAACAACUUUACCAUCUAUUGAAUCACCUCAUAAUUUUGAGUUAAAAUUGUUACCUUCACAUUUAAAGUAUGCUUAUCUUGGUCAAAACAACACACUCCCUGUAAUCAUUUCUUCUACUUUGGAUGCAGGUCAAGAACAUAGUUUAGUAGAUUUGCUGGGAAAAUACAGAAGAGCAAUUGGAUGGACCAUGGCAGAUAUAAGGGGGAUAAGCCCAUCCAUCUGUAUGCAUAAAAUCCUAUUAGAGGAUUGUUCCAGCAAUUCGGUGGAACACCAGAGAAGGCUGAAUCCUAUUAUGAAAGAAGUGGUGAAGAAGGAAAUCAUCAAAUGGCUAGAUGCUGGAAUCAUAUACCCAAUAUCAGACAGUUCAUGGGUAAGCCCAGUUCAGUGUGUUCCAAAGAAAAGAGGGAUAAUAGUAAUGGCUAAUGAGAAUAAUGAACUUAUUCCUACAAGGACAGUGACUGGAUGAAGAGUGUGUAUGGAUUACAAGAAGCUUAACAAAGCCACAAGGAAAGACCAUUUCCCACUUCCAUUCAUAGAUCAGAUGUUGGACAGACUUACUGGAAAACAGUACUACUGUUUCUUAGAUGGGUAUUCAGGCUACAACCAGAUUGCUAUAGUUCCAGAGGAUCAAGAGAAGACUACAUUUACUUGUCCUUAUGGAACAUUUGCCUUCAGAAGAAUGCCAUUUGGGCUAUGCAAUGCUCCAGCAACUUUUCAGAUAUGCAUGAUGUCUAUAUUUUCUAAUAUGGUAGAGCAAACUUUGGAAGUUUUCAUGGAUGACUUCUCAGUUUUUGGAGAAACAUACAAUGAUUGUUUACACAACUUGGAAGAAGUUCUUAAAAGAUGUGAGAUGACCAACUUAGUACUCAAUUGGGAAAAGUGCCAUUUCAUGGUGCAAGAAGGAAUAGUGCUGGGUCACAAGAUAUCCAAGGAUGGUAUUGAGGUAAACAAAGCCAAGUUAGAGGUAAUAGAUAAACUGCCACCUCCAACUUCAGCAAAGGGUGUUAGGAGUUUUUUGGGUCAUGCUGGAUUCUACAGAAGAUUCAUUAAGAAUUUCUCCAAUGUAGCUAAACCUCUGUGUUCAUUGCUGGAGCAUAACAAACCAUUUCACUUUGAUACAGAGUGCCUUAAGGCAUUUGGAGAAUUAAAGAAAGCUCUUAUCAUUGCUCCAGUAGUUAUAUCUCCAUAGUGGACUUUACCAUUUGAAUUGAUGUGUGAUGCUAGUGAUCAUUCUGUGGGGGCAGUAUUAGGGCAAAGAAAGGAUAAGGUUUUUCAUUCCAUAUACUAUGCAAGCAAAACGUUCACUCCAACUCAGAUCAAUUACACAACUACAGAGAAAGAGUUGCUAGUAGUAGUUUUACUUUUGACAAAUUCAGAGCUUACCUGGUGGGUACCAAAGUAACUGUUUACACAAACCAUGCAGCCAUCAAAUAUUUAAUUUCAAAGAAGGAUGCCAAACCAAGAUUAAUCAGAUGGAUCUUAUUGCUUCAAGAAUUUGAUCUGGAAAUUAAAGAUAGAAAGGGGACUAAGAAUCAAGUGGCAGACCACUUGUCACGGUUGGAAUCAGACACUAGUACAUUGACAAGGAAGGACAUCACCGAAACUUUUUCUGAUGAACAGUUGUUGGUAAUACAGCAAGCACAGAUGCUGCAGCAGUCAGAAUCUCCAUGGUAUGCAGACUUUGCUAACUACUUAGUAAGUGGGUUGCUACCACCUGAGCUGAAGUUUUAAGAGAAAAAUAAAUUUCUUCAUGAUGUUAGAAGUUAUCAGUGGGAUGACUCACAUUUAUAUAAGCUAUGCUCAGAUCAAGUAAUAAGAAGAUGUGUUGCAGCAGAAGAAAUACCUCAUAUACUGGAGUCAUGUCAUGCUGCAGCAUAUGGAGGAUAUUUUGGUGGUCACAGAGCAACUGCCAAAGUUAUGCAAUCAGGUUAUUAUUGGCCCACUAUCUUUAAAGAUGCUUAUGAAUUUGUUAAAUGUUGUGAUAUGUGUCAAAGGACAGGGAACAUAACUAGCAGACAUGAGAUGCCUUUGACUAACAUAUUGGAAGUGGAAGUUUUUUAUGUUUGGGAAAUAGAUUUCAUGGGACCUUUUCCCCCAUCCUUUGGGAACUUAUAUAUCAUUGUUGCUGUAGAUUAUGUCUCCAAGUGGGUAGAAGCUGCAGCAUUACCUACCAAUGAUGCUAAAACAGUGGUGACUUUUCUUCAAAAAAAUGUUUUCUCUAGGUUUGGCACUCCUAGAGCAAUUAUUAGUGAUGAAGGCACACAUUUUUGCAACAAAAUCUUUGCUGCAGCAAUGAUGAAAUAUGGAGUCAGACACAAGAUAGCAACAGCAUAUCACCCACAAUCCAAUGGUCAGGCUGAAGUGUCCAACAGAGAAAUUAAAAAGAUCUUAGAAAAAGUGGUGAACCCAAAAAGGAAGGAUUGGUCUUUACAUUUGCAUGACUCUCUAUGGGCCUACAGAACAACAUACAAAACUCCACUCGACAUGUCUCCUUACCGAAUUGUUUAUGGCAAAGCAUGUCAUUUGCCACUAGAGCUAGAGUACAAAGCCCAUUGGGCAUUAAAGAAAUUAAAUUAGGAUAUGCAUGCUGCAGCAGGGCAAAGGAAACUUCAACUUUGUGAGCUUGAUGAAUUACGGCUGUUUUCAUAUGACAAUGCAAGAAUCUAUAAAGAGAGAACAAAACACUGGCACGACAAGCAUAUUCAACACAGGAAAUUCACCCCUGGUCAAUUAGUGUUACUCCACAAUACAAGACUAAGAUUAUUUCCAGGAAAGCUCAAGUCAAGAUGGUCUGGCCCGUUUAAGUUGUUAAAAUCUUACCUUCAUGGAGCUGUUGAUCUUCUAGAUGAACAAACAGGCCACGAGUUCAAGGUUAAUGGACACAGGGUUAAGCAUUACAUACAUCCAGCAGCAGAAUGUUCAAAGGAGGUGUUACUCCUUAAAGAACCUAGCUAUUGAACAAAGAAGGAAGGUCAUGCUGAAGGACCUUAAAUCAAGCGCUUCAUGGGAGGCAGCCCAUUGAGGAGAUAGCCACUUCAAACCAAGUUUGAUAGCCUUUGGUUUUGUAGACAGCUUUCUCUCUUUGCCAUCUUAUUUAAUUUCUGUUUUUCUAUGAUUAGCCCUUAUUUUCAUCCAUUUACAUUAUUGCAUUCUUUACUUUCACUUUAAUUUGCUAUAUCUAUUUCUUUUAAUAAAUUUUAGACUUAAUGUUAGUAAGUGUGAUAAUUGAAUUUCAUAUUGACAAGUGAGAGUGAAUGGUGGCAGAAUUCAGAGGUGAAUCACGUGUUAGAAGCUUUUAGUGGGGAGUCUGUAUCCGUUGUUAGAAUAAGCGAAUGGGUGCUGCAGCAGCUAAUUUUACCGUUACAGUAAAUUAAAAGCUGGAGCCUUUCACUUACCGUUGGAGAUAAAAUCGUGACAGAUGGAUGCAUGGACAUGGAUAGAAAAUUGAGGAAACCAAUCUAUGAAAUUAAAGCUUUAAUUUCAUUGGCCGAUAAUUUUGGGGAUAUGGACAUUUAAUUCAAAUAUUUUAUUCCCUCAAUUAUCUCUCGUUACCGUAUUUAUCUUCAAAUUAAAGUCCAUUAUAAAAAAGAAUCACUGUGCUUAGUGCUCUACGCCACUAUUCCCCAUCUCCUUCGCAAAGACAACUCUAAAAACUCUUAAACUCUUUUUCUCUUUUUAUUCUCAGGAACAGUAGCUUCAAUUUGUUAUUGCUACAGCAAUGCCGAGAUACAAGAAAAUAGUCAGUCGCCUCAAAGAUCUAUCACGAUUCCAGAGUUACCACGCUGAAGAAAAAUAUGAAGAAUUCAUAGAGCCACGUCGGAUUCUGGAAGAAAAAAGGGUUUCAAUUCCCAGACCAACUCACGGGAAUUGUGCAAACCAUUCAUAAUGCUAUAGCAAAGCGAGGAUGGUUAGAGUUUUGCAACCACCCUCGCGAUCCUGUGUUGCCUGUAGUCAAAGAAUUUUACGCCAAUUUGGUGUUCGUCUUGACGCUAGAGAUGAACAUGUAAAAAAUGAUGGUGCCUGUACGGCACGUACCAUUGAGAGAGUUGCUGGUGAGAGUGCUGGAACAACCACUGAACCAGCUGCUAUCACUGGAGCAAGACGAGCCAUUGGUUUAGAACAGACUAUCCAGGUACUCAGCAAUAGUAUAACUCAAUGUGUGGAAGCUCAACAGAGGGAAAAUGGUCGAUUUUGGAGCUAUCUACAGCACUUGGAUAACCAACUACACCAAUUUGAUCUGUACAUGAAACGCACUCACUGGAACUUCCCUGAUGCACUGCUCCAGCAGUUCCAUUUUGCCAUAAACACCACAGGUGCUCCAGCAGCAGCCAGUGAAGAAGCCACUCCUUCAGAUGAACCAGCAGAGGACGCUGCCACUGAGCUACAAGCAGCAGUCGACUCAGAAGAGGCUGAACCGUCUGAUCCACCUGAGGACGAAGGUGACAAGUCUGAGACUGAUAGCUCACCCUCAGAGGCAGAGGAUAACUCAGAGAAAGAAAGUGAGGAACCAACCAUCCCAAGCUAGCCCAAAACUAGAAAAAAGCAUAUUAUUCAAGAAGAAGAAGAGGAAGACCUUGAAGAGGAGCUGCCUAUUCCAGUCUUUAAGGGUAAGAGGAAGGAUAAGGGUAAAGCAAAAUUGGCAACCCCUCCAGCCUCUGAAGAUGAAAUGGAGCAAGUCGAUGCUGAGUUGGCUGCUGCAGCAGCCAGAGCUAUGCCUACACCUGAGCAAGCCUAGCAACUACUUGCGGUUAUUGCUGCCAUCACCGCUGAGGGCCAGGCAGCUGAUGCAUUGACUCAAAAGCCUCCACAGCAAACUCCUGACCAGCCUAUCCGCACCAGUCCAAGACAAUCCAGCAAAUGAAAAGGCAGUACGUCUACAGGUACUGCUACAACAACCCCAGCCACCACUCCUCUCACCAGCCCCGCAGCGAAAAAGACAAAGACAUUGCCAGCCACUUCCCCAAAAGCUUCACCAAAGGAUAAGCUGCGCAGUGCGUCCAAGAAGCGCUGAUAGCAUCCUGUCAUGUGCUGCAGUCCCCACCACAGGGGAGUACUCUUUCCUUACUAGUGCAUUAAAAAAAAAAAAUUCAAUUUGUGUGUCAUUGUUAUGUUUGCUUGUGAGGACACAGCAACUCUCAAGUUUGGGGCGGGUUGUGUUCCCAAAUGCAUAUGUUUAUGUUUGUAUGCAUGUGUUUAUGUUUGUGUGGUGUGGAGCUCUAUUAUCUAAUAUUUGUGUAUGGAUUUGAAAGCCUAAUGAAGAUAAAUUGAGUGCUAUUCAAUAUAUAUAUGCCAAGUAGAGAUAGUUAUAGAUGAAAGUGAAAUUCUGUCCCGACACUUAGACUUUGGUUGAAUUGUACGAGACUGUUAGAGCAAAGCCAAAAGAAGAGAAAAGAUCUCAAGUUUGGGGGGGGGGGGUAGAAGCAAGUUUGAAUAACUGUGAUAUCUAUGGAAUACAAUUUGUUCCAAUGACUCAAGUUGCUGAGUAACCAUAUCUGAGUAUGUACCCCAUAUGCAGACUUGUGUUCAAAGGUAGCGAGAGUUAUGAGCAAUGCUGCACCAUAUAUAUAUAUAUAUAUAUAUAAAGAAAUCAUCUGUCUAAGGCAUUGAGUAGUUAGGUCUGUUCAUGAGCCCCAUGUUCAGCCUUGAGUAAAAGAUACUUCUAGAUAAGAUUACCUUACAAUUACUGGUGCAGCAACUCUAAUCUGGGCAUGGUUUGAUUAAUUGGGUGUCAUCAUUACAAUUGAUUGACAUUCACAUGAAAGAUAAAUGUUACAGUGAGGAGGUUAAAUAUUUCCUAGUUUGUCAAUCCUAAAAUAAUCACAGUUGAGUAUGUGAAAGUUAUGAUUACCCCAUUUAUGAAUGAAGUGUUCUCACUGUUGAAAUUCAUGCAAUCCCUUGGUGAUGCUAUAGCAUAUCUAGAAUUCAACCGAAAGAGCACACACACACACUAUGGACAGAAAGAAGCUUAAGUCUAGGACUAAUUUACUAUGGUCAUCUUGCUUGAUUGAGAAUAUGAUCUAAAGGUGGAAGAAUCCUUGCAAAGUUGAUAAAAGAGUUAAAUUUGUGUAAAGUGUUAGUAUGUGUCAUUACUUGAGGACAAGUAAUAGUUUAAGUUUGGGGGUGUGAUAACUCUAGGAAAUGAGAGUUAUUACAUCAAUUCUAGACUUGAAUCAAGGUCACUUAGAGAACAAAUAAGGUGUUUUUAUUACAUUUUGGGUACCUUUUGCAUAAACAUUCAUUUUAGUUGAGUUUAAUAAGUUUUGCUUGAAUCAUAGUAAUUUGUGCUAAAAACAGGUUUUAAAUUGUAGGUUUUAAAUUCGUGAGAGGAUGUUGAGGCAUUAGAAGAGCAAGAGGAGGAAGGAAGUUGGCCACAAAAGAAGUAAAGCACAAUCAGGAAUAAAACAGUGUUGUAGCAGCUGUUAGAGCAACCAGUGCUGUAGCAAUCUGGGAGCAAUGCGGGAGAAAACUUAGGCGCGAGUCAGCCACAAAAUCGUGAUCUGCAUGUUUCCUAAUUCAAGCAUAUGCACGCUCAUGGGCUUUGGUUUAACCUAAUUUACAAUAUAAAAAGGAGGCGUGCACCACAUAGAAAGGCGGCAAGGAAUUAUCAUAAAAAAUAAUUACGAAGGCAAGAAGAAGAAGAUCAAGAUUAAAGAGUGUUAUUCGGAAACAAAAGGAGAGAGUCGUGCAGAAUUAAUAGUUUCAGUUAAGAUAGAGCAGCAAAAGGGCAUGUCUUAGCGGACAUUAUUAGAGUAUUACUUGUUCUUAAGUCGAGUUUCCUGGAUUAGGUUAUCUUGAAUCCCAUAAGGGCAAUACUUGAAGUUAAGAUUUGUGACACUUUAGACAUAGGUGUUCACCUUGUAGGGUAGAGAGAUUAAAGGUUAUAAUGCCAUACCAUAAAUAUAUGAGCAACUGGUCAUUGUUAGUAGAUUUAAAGGUAUGAGAUUUCCAACAUGCGAUAGCUGCGGAUGCAGAUUUAUUCUACCCAUUGCUGCAGCACUUAUUGAAACAACUGGUGCUAAUUUGGUAAACAACAGUCACCCCAUUAGGAGAGUUUGAUCAUUCAACUACUAUAUUCUCAAUUGAAUCUUAGACACAUUUAACUUAGUUUACUUCAUUACAGUAUUGUUUUAUUUUCAUCUCUCAUAAUUAUUAGUUACAGUAGAAUUAUUCGAUAAUUGUUUAUUUCGGUCUUUAAUUGAUUUGCACUAUUGUGAUUGCUUUAGCAUUUUGAGUAACAUCAAUCCCCGUGGAGACGAUCUUGAAUAGUCAUCACUUUAUUACUUGUUGUGUAUACUUGCACAUUGGCAUUGAUAAUAAUUGCUUACAGAAAUUAACCAACAAUAUUCUUGGUGGUUGAUUUUGUUUUUUUAUACUAGCUUAUGAGAUCCUAUGCUUUAAAAUUCUUGUCUCUCGAAUGUUGAUUGAUUUAAAUUCUUGAGGUAUGCUUGCUUAAGAUUAUUUUUGGAUGAGUUGAGAUGAGAAUUGAGUGGAGAUUUGGGAUUAGUCUUGAGUUAUAUGCUUGAGGACAAGCAUUAUCUUGGUGUGGGGGAAUUUGUUAGAGUACAAUUUAUGCACUAGUUUUGCAUUGUUUACCUCCUUUAAUAUCGAUGUUUUGCACUUAAUAAUAGUGAUUUACUUGUGUUUUAUUUUUGUAGGUGCAAUUCGAUUGAUUGGUGCUAAAAUUGAGCUACAAGAUGAUGUUAGAGGAUGAUUGUUUUCCUGGAGAAAUUAUGAGCUUCAGAAGAACUUUGUUGAUAAGGCGUGGGCGCGUGCUGUCAACUAAGGACCUGCAGUUUUUAUUUUAACGUGUUUUGUCUCUUUGUUUAUUUUUGUAAUUUUGAAUUUAAUAUUUAGAUAAUAUUUUAGAUAUUAGUAUUUUAUUUUUGGAAAAACUCUAUAAGAGAAAGGAGACGUGAAAAACAAAGGAGGAUGAGAUUUUUAAAAAAAGAAAAAGAAACCCUAGAUCUAAAUUUUUCUCUUCUCUCUAUGAAGAACUAACCUAUUAUUCUGGUUGAAGGUUAAUAAAGCUUUGAUUCGUCAUUACUGGGAGAUCUUUCUUAUGCUUUAAUUGUUUUAUUACUUUUUGGGUAUUUGUUUAUUCUCUAAAUUAUGGUUAUGAUUAUGUUUGUUAAUUAGAUAAUUGGCCACUAUUUAAUUAUCAACUUAAUCUAUUGUCAAUUAAAAGAUUCAUCGUAUGAAGAUUUUAAUGUUUGUGACAAAUAGCAUAGCAAUGCGUUGUGUUAUGAGAAUAAACAAUCUAAUUUAAAUGAACCAUCGUAUGCGUUUGUUGAUUAGGAUUUGGGUCUCUUUGGUUUUUCAGGUUGUCAAUUGAUUAAACCCUAUGAUCGUAUCUAGGGUUGUCUAUUGAUUAGGGAAAUAACCAAUGGUCGUACCUUGGUUAUCGACUAGUUAAUGAGAGAUUAACUAUUAGAGGGUCUCAGUAGCUAUAAUCGGUCUAUUCAUAAGUAGUAAUGAUUUAUAUUUGAAUCAAUGAUCAGUAGUCGAAUCAAGCUGAGUUAAUUCCUUCAACUAGAGCUUUUCUCAAUUUGAAUUACACAUUUAAUUUGCAUUCUUGUUAUUUUAAUUUGAUUUUUAUUAUUGUCAAAAAUCCCCCCAUUUUGUAUUUUACAUUUUAAAAGGAUUCAAAUAAUUACCGAUCUCUGUGGACACGACCCUGCUCAAUCACUAUACACAAUUUAUUUAGAGUAGGUAUUUAGUUUUGCUGGCUUCGACAACCAUUAAUAUUAAAAAAUAAAUUUAUAUUUAUCAAGUAUAAAAAAUAAAUAGACAAACAAAAAUAAUAUGUUACCUAAAAUAAUGACAAUAUCAAUAUUUAACACUCUAUAAUUUAGUGAUGUGUUGUCCAACUGCCAUACAUUGGUCCCAAACAGAGCCUUAAAUAUCAAAGUCCAAAGUUAUUGUGAUGAUGACUUAUAAUCGCCAAACUUGACAUACGGGUAAUCAUGCAUUAUAAGGUGCUGAUUUCUUACUAUCAGAACCUUAUUUGUCAUCUAUAAAUAAAUAAAUGAUGUGACUUCACGGUUGGCGGGGUCCUUUGUAUCUCCUUUUGCAUCUACUUUUGUUGUUAACAUUACUUUCAAAAGCAGCUCGUUAUGUAUGCAACAUUUCAAAAUUAAUCUAAAAAAAACAAAAAUUAGUUCAGCUGACUAAAUUUGAAAGCAUGGAUUUGCUGUCGAUUAAAAACCGUUUUGUAGGGAAAAUUUUUGGAUUGCAAUUCUCAUAUAAUACAUAGAAUUAUCAUAAUUUAUAAAUUUUAUUUUCGCUUUUCUGUGGUAGUAAGUCAGACUCCUUAGUGACAAUUUAAUUUGAAAAAAUAAAAUCAUAAAUAAGAAUUAUUCGAUAAGAAUUAAAAUAAUUGAUAAAUAUUUGAGACGUGCAAUUUUGGAAGAUUCGAUUUCUAAUAGGAGGGGAAUUUAAAUUUUACAGCCUUUGGUGAGGAAUCCAAAAUGCACAAUUUGAUGAAAAUUAAAUUUCAAUAGAAAUUGAAUUCCCAUAUAUUAGUGAAAACCAAACAACAGAAAAGUGAAAUGAAUUUGAAUUUAUUUCCUUCCUCUCUUCUCCCUCCAACUAAAUACCAUUGAAAUCCAAAGGUAUGGGAUUUGUUUCGGAGUUUAAGAUUGAAAUUAAUCCCAAUUGUUGAUUUGGGACUAGAUAAGAAUUUAUCUUGGAACUCCAAUUCUCCCAAUUAUUUUAGUUGACAAUAUGUUUAACAUUAUUUUUUUAACAUUAUUAAUUGCAUAUUAUUUAAUUGUCAGUAUAUAAUAUUCUUUAAUUUUCUAAUUUAUAGGAUUAGACGCAAAAUUGAUUAUGGCUUUUGAAAUUUAAGUGUUAUGUCAAUUGAAUAGAAAACAUGGAGUAAAAAUUUUGGAUGCUUUUGUUGAUUAUCAAUUUAUGCAUGAAUUUUUGUACAUUUACUUUGGUUUAUUAUUAUUACUUUUAAACAUUUUUAUUAGUUUGGUUUAGGGUCAGUUUGGUAAUCCUGUAGCUUUUACAAUAAUUACAAUUAGCUAUGCUGUAGAAAUUGAUCAAUCGUGAGGAGAAUCAGCUGAACAUUUAGUAAAAUUUAUUUUUAAAAGUACUUUUAGUUUUAAAAACAGUCGUAUGUAUUUCUUAAAUCUUAUUGUUAAACUGGUGCAAGAAUAUAAAUGAUGAAUUGGACAUAAUGCGAAAUAAAAUUUAUUUACAAACAUGUAUAUAAAAUAUUUUUAUUAUGUACAUAUAAUUAUUGAUAACUAAAAUAAAUAUUUUAUAUUAUUAAAUUUUAUUCUCUAUUUUGUUAUCUCAAUAUAAUUGGUAAUAAUAAUAAUCUUUUUAAAGUUAAUGAUUUUAUUUCUUAAUUAAUAAAGAUAAUUUUGGAUUUUUAUUAUAUAAUGAGAAUAUAUAUAUAGAAUUGGAUUAAGUAUAGAAGUGAUUCUCAAAACCAGAUUUUGAAAAACUAUUCAUUCCCUACUUUUCAAAAUCUAAUGUAUGAUGAAAUGAUUUUGCCAAAACUAAUUACUAAAAAAAUUUAUAAAACACUAAGAAUUAACUUUUACUUUUUAAAAUCACUUUUAAGCUUCCCAAAAACAAUCCUAAGGGCCUUUAUUUGGGUGGUGUUGGAACUUGUAACUUUUGGAUCUUUUAGCUUUUAUUGGUUUGACACAACUGUUACACUAAAAAUUAAAUGCAUCUUAAACCCCAAACUUCUUCUUCUUCUUUUUUGAUUGCACAAAAUUAAAAACAAUAGUGAACACAUUCUUUAAUAAACAAUAAGUAAUAACUAAAAUUGCGUUAAAGAAUUUAGUUGAUAUAUAAAUUGAUUUCAAUGUUGUAUAUGCUAAAUUUCUUAAAAGUUUUCUUUCACAAUCUGCUGCAUAGUUUUAUUAGUAUUUUGAAUAAAUAAAAAUAAUUGAUUUAUAUUUUUUUAAAGAAACUUAUUAGGUUCAUGUAAAGAUGUUUUUUUUUUUAUUUUAAAAAAGUGUACAAAGUAAAACUUAAUUUUUUAAAUUUAUUAGAUGAGUGCAUAUAAUAUUUGAGUGUUCAUAGUAAUUUUUAAAGCAUAGAUAGUCGGGCCCUAAUAUUUUUAAUAUACGGAAAUUUUGCUAAUAUGUUAAUGAGAAUUAAAAUGAUAAUUAAGGGAGGCAUUCGAGACAGUCAGGAUAGUUAGGAUGGGACAUCAUUGUGAGCGGUUUGAGAUUGGUCCUAAUUUUGAUCACAAAUAUAUAAACUGGAUGAGUGUAUCCAUACUUACAUUCCAUUUGAUAAUUAAGAUAAAUGUGGAAUUGUCAAAUCCCAAAUCAUCCCAGACCAUUGCCACCAAAGGUACUCUCACUAAUAAUAUCUAAAGAAUAAUCUACAUCUAUUUCAUACUUUUUUUUUAACGGAAAGAGCCCUCAUGUGGCUUGAAAUGUUAUCCUAAAUAAUAUUCAGAAUAUCAUACCAUGAUUGGGUUUGUGACAAACAAAUAUUACAUAGUUGGAAUACGUAGUUACUAGUGUCCCAAUUUAUGCAGUAUCUAUCAUUUAGUGCACAUAUAAAGUAUUAAUCAGCUUAAUUAAUUUAUAAAAUUUAAAUCUAAUUAAUAAGUGACACAUAAAUGCCAAGUGCAAUAUAUGCAAAUCAUGUUUGUCGAUCAUUACAAAACUGGCUCUUGAAAACAAGCAAGAAAGCUUAAUUAAGAACUUAAAACAAAAAGAAUUAGAUCGAGAACAGUCAAGCCUUAUUUUUUCAAGGAUGGAGCUUAUAAAUCUUCAAGUACCAACAUAUGCUUGCCCCAGUUGUUGUUAUUAAAAUUUUAAUAUAUAUAUACACACACACACACACACACACACACAUAAAAAAGUAUGACAUAGCAAAAAUUUGAUGGUACAUAUGUCGGAAUAUACUAGUUCAUGGAUGCAUUUGAUUAUUGUUUCCAUAAAUUUGAACCAAGAAGGAUGACUCGAUAAAAAUUGAUUUUACGGUAUGGUUGAUUUCAAUCUCAUGCACUCAUUUCUUAAGAUAAUCAAAUUUUCUCUGGCAUCUUUUGCAACUGUGGAAAUAUCAAUUAUGAUCAAUCAAAAGGAUUUCAAAAACUUUCAACGAGACAUAUUUAUAAUACAAUAUUGUGAAAAUUACACCAAAAAUUUUAUUUAUUAUAUAUUAUUAUCCAACCAGCACACAAAAAUGAAUUCGUACAAAUCUAAAAUACUUAGCAAUUUUCAAAUAGAAUUUACCAUGUACUACAAGAAAAUAGGGUAUAUGUGACCCCUAAUGUGAAAAUAGGGUAUAUGUGACCCCUAAUAGAAUUUGUUGAACCUAGACCAGACUUAAUAUCCAAUCAAGAAUCUCCAGGAUCUAGCUGAACUCUCUAAUCAAGAUCUAAAGAAUGGUUAAUCAAUUCACAGAAAAGAAUCACCCAGAAACAGUAUGCAAAGAACAACAAAUAUAAGUGGUUCGGCUGAAAGAGCCUACAUCCACUGAAGAACAGACCAACAGCUUUUCACCAUUAACAAAGAACAAGUUACAAGUUUAGAGAUGAAGUUACAAGCAAUACAUUCCCUGAUUUUCCAGUCCUUAAGACUACUUAUACUAGCUUAAAGGCCCUCACAAAGACCCCCUGUCAACCAGCUGUAAUCUAGGUUUGUUAGCUAACAAACCCAGAAUUCUCCCGCCUAUUGUAACUGACUUUAACAGCUUCCAGGACACGUGUUGAAUUCUUACAAACAGCAAGCCCCAAAACGACAUUCUUUCAUGCCGUUCAGAGUAAGUGGAAGCACGUGACAUUUACGUGCUUCACUUAAAGCUUUGGGUGACGACCAAAGUUUGUCAUACAGGCUUGUAUCCUUUACAGCUGACAUGUCGUAUACCAACAUGACCACAAACUGACAUGACGGUUGAUCUUCUGGAAAUCAGUUUAAAGCUCAUACUUUAACAUUCUCCACCUUGAGCUUGAAACUCUCAUGACCUGCUCAUCUUCUCUCCCACCAUCUGUAUUUUAAUUAUCACAGAUGCCAGCCAAAUCCAAACAGAAUUUGAAUUUAGCCCCUGAAAUAGCUUUAGUUAACAUAUCUGCAACAUUGUCAUCUGUAUGGAUUUUCUGAAGCAUCACAGUUGCUUUUGAGACUUCCAGCCUGAUGAAGUGCACCUUAAUGUCAAUGUGUUUGGUUCUUUUAUGGUGAGUUUGAUUCUUACUUAGACAUAUAGCACUUUGGCUAUCACAAUGUAUCACCACAGACCUCUGAUUGACUCCAAGCUCCUUCAACAUACCCUUCAGCCAUAUUGCCUCUUUUAUGGCUUCAGCAUCUUUUAUGGCUUCAGCAGCAGCUGUGUACUUUGCUUCAGUUGUGGACAAAGCCACAACACUUUGUAGUUGUGAUUUCCAGUUUAUUGUGCAGUUGUUGAAUGUGAACAGAUACCCAGUUAGAGACCUUCUUCUAUCCAAGUCUCCUGCAUAAUCAGCAUCCACAUAUCCUACAAUUAAACUGUCAUCUCUUCUCUGUCCCCCAUAUAUCAGACCAUGCCCAGAAGUUCCCCUUAGAUACCUGAGUAUCCACUUUACAGCCUUCCAAUGUUCUUUUUCAGGAUUGGACAUAUACCUACUAACCACACUGACUGCAUGUGCUAUGUCAGGUCUGGUGAGUACCAUAGCAUACAUUAAGCAGCCUACAGAACUUGCAUAAGGAAUUUUCAUCAUUUUAGACUUGUCAGCAUUAGCUUUUGGGCACUGCUGCUCUGAUAAUCUGAAGUGGGCUGGUAAUGGUGUUUGCACUGGUUUGGCAGUAGCCAUGUCAAACUUAUCAAGUACUCUCCUGAUGUAUUCCUCAUGUGUAAGAAACAAGGUGCCAGAUUUCCAAUCUCUGAUUAGUUGCAUUCCAAGUAUUUUCUUAGUUGGUCCCAGAUCCUUCAUCUCAAAUUCACCUUUGAGUUGUUGUUUCAGAACUUUAUUUGUUCCAUGCUCUUACUAGCAAUAAGCAUGUCAUCCACAUAUAGAAUCAGAUAAACCAUUUCCCCUGAUAUCUCUUUGUAAUAAACACAGCAAUCUAGAUUACAUAUUUGAAAACAAAUUUUCAUCAUAAAGCUGUCAAACCUGAGAUACCAUUGUCUUGGAGACUGCUUGAGGCCAUAAAGUGAUUUCUUCAGAAGGCAUACCCAAUCACCAUUUGACUAGUCUUCAAAGCCUUCAGGUUGAGACAUUAUUAUUUGUUCUUCAAGCUCACCAUGUAAAAAUGCAGUCUUAACAUCCAUCUGUUCAAGAUGCAUGCUAUGAACUGCAACCAGUGCUAGGAUCAUUCUUAUUGAGGUAUGCCUAACUACAGGUGAGUAGACUUCUGUAAAAUCUAUCCCUUCCUUCUGUGUGUAGCCUUUGGCAACCAGCCUAGCCUUAUAUCUCAUGGAUUCAAUCCCUGGUAUACCCUGCUCGACCUUGUAAACCCAUUUGCAGCCUACUACCCUUUUGUUUUCUGGUCUUUUUACAAGCUCCCAAGAGUUAUUCUUGUGUAAUGACUCCAUUUCAUCCUUCAUAGCUUUUAUCCACUUGUCUGCAUCUUUUCCUGAAACAGCUUCUCUGAAGGUUUUAGGUUCAUCAUUGUCUAGUUCAUGGGCUGCUGUUAGAGCAUAUGCUAUCAAAUCUGGAUAUGCAAACCUCUUAGGUGUUUUGAUAAUUCUCCUUUGUCUGUCUCUUGCCAGCUGAUAGUCUUGAAUAUCUGUAUAAGUUCCAGAAGUUUCACUAAUAUCUUUAGUUUCUUCUCUCUCCAUGUCUUCAGCUUCAUCAUGGUAGUUCAGAGUUGAUUUACCUUUCAACUCCAUCUUCAAAUGUUGUCCCUGUGAGUCCACUCCUCCUUCUGGUUUAGCAGGAUCUUUUUUAUGUCUUUUCAUCAGCAUCUCUGACUCAUUGAAGACUACAUCUCGGCUAACUAUACACUUUGGUGGCCUCAUUUCAGUGCACCAGAGCUUAUAACCUUUGACACCUUCAGGAUACCCUAGGAAUACACAUUUCAGUGCUCUUGGCUCCAGCUUCCCUUGCUUGACAUGUGCAUAAUCUGGACAACUAAAAAUCUUUAGAUUUGUAUAAUUUGUUGUUCUUCCUGACCACAUCUCUACUGGUGUCUUGAAGUUUAAGGCACUGGAUGGGCUUCUAUUCACUAGAUAAUAUGUUGUCAUCAAAGUUUCAGCCCACAAUGUUUGAGGAAGCUUUGAAUGAAUCAGUAAACAUAUGACCUUAUCCAUCAAAGUCUUGUUCAUUCUUUCUGCUAACCCAUUUUGCUGUGGGGUGUAAUUCACUGUUUUGUGUCUUGCUAUGCCAUUGAGUUUAUAGAAAUCAUCAAACUGUUGAUUGCAGAAUUCAAGCCCAUUAUCAGUCCUCAGUCUCUUAAUCUUCCUACUACUCUGAGUUUCUACCAAUGCUUUCCAUUGUUUAAACCUCUCAAAGACUUCAUCCUUGCCUUUCAAGACAUAAACCCAUACCAUUCUCGAGUAAUCAUCUAUAAAGAAGAGAAAGUAUUUUGCUCCACCUAGAGAGACAGUAUGUGAUGGCCCCUACAGAUCUGAAUGGAUGUAAUCUAGGGUCCCUUUUGUGUUAUGCACUGCAGUUUUGAAACUAGUUCUUGAGGAUUUGCCUAGGACACAUACCUCACAGAACUCCAGAGACCCCAACUUAUCAUCCCCUAAGACUCCCUGUUUUUCUAAAAUUUUUAGCCCCUUCUCACUCAUAUGUCAUAACCUUAGAUGCCAUAUGAGAGUUUUAUCCAAACCCAGACUUGCUGAAAUACUGACAUCUCCAGUUACAGUAGUGCCUUGAAGCACAUAUAAGCCAUUUUGCUUAUUCCCUUUCAUUAUCACUAUAGACCCUCUAACAACCUUCAUUACUCCAGAUUCAACUUUAAUGGAGCAUCCAACCUGAUCUAGAGUGCCUAGAGAUAUUAAAUUCCUCUUUAAAUCAGGAAUAUGCCUUACCUCUCUUAGCUCCCUAAUCAUCCCAUCAAACAUCUUAAAUCUAAUGGUUCCUAACCCAACAACCUUACACAUUGUGUUAUUCCCCAUUAGAACCUCACCUCCAUUAAAAGAAUUAUAAGUAGUAAAAAGAUUUUGAUCAGGGCACAUGUGAUAUGAACAUCCAGAAUCAUGAAUCCACUUACUGUUUGUCUGAGUUUCAGAAGCCAAAAGUACACCAGCUGAGUCAUAGCCCUCAUCCUCGGAUGCAACAGCAGCAUCACCAUUAUUUCCAUGCCCUUCCUUACCCUUGUUCUUUCUGUCUGGACAGUCCCUCUUGAAAUUCCCUUCUUUAUGGUAGUGAAAGCAUUUCAUAUUUUUAUUCUUGGACUUUGACUUGUCUCUUUUCUUCCCUUUGUUGUAUUCUCUCUUUUCAGGUCUUCAUCUUGCCAUCAGACCUUCCCCAGCUUUUGUUUCUGACCUCUUUGUGACUUCUUUAUAACUGAGAGAAUCCUUUACAUCAGCCAUCGAUAUUGACUGCCUUCCAUAGAGCAGUGUAUCUACAAAGUGUUCAUAGGAUGGUGGGAGAGAUGAUAAUAAGAUUAUUGCCUUGUCUUCAUCCUCUAGACUCACAUUUAUAUCUUCAAGAUCCAGGAUGAUCCUGUUAAAGCUAUCAAUGUGAGUUGCCAAAGAACUUCCUUCCUCCAUUUGCAAAGUAUAUGGCCUCUUUUUGGUACAAAGUCUUUUGGUUAGAGACUUCUUGGUAUAUAGGUCUUCAAGCUUUUUCCAGAGGCCUGCAGCAGUAGUUUGAUCUCCCACUUCCCUAAGAACUCCAUCUCCCAGACUCAAGAUUAGAGUGUUAUGAUCUUUAUCCAAAGCAUCUAGCAUUUCUUCAUCAAAAAGCUUGCUGGGUUUCUUUUCAGAUCUUGGAUCACCCAAAGUAUCCUCCAGCCCCUGAUGAACCAACAGAGCUCUCAUCUUGAGCCGCCAUAGAUGGAAGUCAUUUUCUCCAGUGAAUUUUUCUACCUCAAACUUAGAGGUUCUCAUUUCUUGGAUCAAAGAUCAGAGAUAAGGCUCUGAUACCAAUUUGUUGAACCUAGACCAGACUUAAUAUCCAAUCAAGAAUCUCCAGGAUCUAGUUGAACUCUCUAAUCAAGAUCUAAAGAAUGGUUAAUCAAUUCACAGAAAAAAAUCACCCAGAAAUAGUAUGCAAAGAACAACAAAUAUAAGUGGUUCGGCUGAAAGAGCCUACAUCCACUGAAGAACAGAGCAACAGCUUUUCACCAUUAACAAAGAACAAGUUACAAGUUUAGAGACGAAGUUACAAGCAAUACAUUCCCUGAUUUUCCAGUCCUUAAGACUACUUAUACUAGCUUAAAGGCCCUCACAAAGACCCCCUGUCAACCAGCUGUAAUCUAGGUUUGUUAGCUAACAAACCCAGAAUUCUCCUGCCUAUUGUAACUGACUUUAACAGCUUCCAGGACACGUGUUGAAUUCUUACAAACAGCAAGCCCCAAAACGACAUUCUUUCAUGCCGUUCAGAGUAAGUGGAAGCACGUGACAUUUACGUGCUUCACUUAAAGCUUUGGCUGACGACCAAAGUUUAUCAUACAGGCUUGUAUCCUUUACAGCUGACAUGUCGUAUACCAACAUGACCACAAACUAACAUGACGGUUGAUCUUCUGGAAAUCAGUUGAAAGCUCAUACUUUAACAUAUAUCACUAACUUCUAACUUUGUAACCCCGAGUUGCUUUUGUUACCCUUUAUGUGACUGCCACACUGCUGUCACAUAUGUUAUUAACCACGUGACGGUAAAGAGCCGUUCGGUAUACUACUAUUUUACAAUUUUAAAUUUAUUUCCAGUUAGAAAACUAUUCGCUGGACUCCGUGUUACAUAUGCCACCAUCGUAAACCUAACUGGUUGCCGGCGAACGGCGUAAAACACCGGCCAUCUUCUUCUUCAUCGUAUUCUCCCUUCAUCUUUUGUUCGUAUUAUAGCCGUUAUUGUCAAUUUUUGUCCCGCCAGCAAUAUUUUUUUAUUCCUACAAGUUGAAGCACCCGUGCUCUUGUUCCAUUGAUGAGUUUGCUCACUCAAAUUAAUUUUGUUCUGUAGAAUUUACAAAGUUCAAAUGGAUUCAUUUGAAUUUAGCUUUAAUUAUGUAUGUCAAUUAUGUAUUUAGAUUAUGAAUUUAGCCGUUAUUGUCAAUUAUGUAUUUAGAUUUACUUUAAUUUUAUGCUUAAAGCUUCUACAUUGCUGAUUCUAUAUUAAUAAUGUUAUGUUCUAUUUUCAGAAAUUAUAAUACAAAAGUUUUUACAAUGUUGUGCAUCUACAAACUGAAUUGACUUGUAGAAUAAGAGCUUGGAGUAGUGUUAUGUUCUUGAAUAAAUGAAUGUUCAUAUUGUGUAAGAGCAUGUAGAUGUAAAGCAUCAUUACCAUAUCUACAAAGUGCUUUCAUUCUGUUCAGAUGCUCUUCUUGAACUUUGAAAGGUGCCUCGUUCAAGUCCUAGCUAUAACUACUAGUUUUGAUUAAUUAAGUUCCUGUACUAGCUGAAACAGAUUUAUUUAAUUAAUUAAUUGUGUAUGUACUAAUUAUAUUGAAAGUAUAUGAAUUUUUUUUUUAAAACAUGAAUGACUUCUAAAUGACUUAAAAACCUAAAGGAUGUGUGAAAUAAUGCUCAUUUCACUUGAAUGAACCCAUUAAUACUUUUAUGUCUAUGAUUGUCAAUAUUGGCUUAAGCAUUUCAGCUAAGUGGUUUACCUAACAGAGAAAAAAAUUUAAUAGAAAACUUCAGAGUUCUAACAGAAAUAUAGUUCACUAUGCAGAUAUAGUUAUUUUACGGUAUACAAAUCAAGUUGUCCUAAUCUCAAUGUCCUAUGACCGAUUUUAUUUUAUAUAGUCAUUAAUUUUUGCCAUGGUUUUUUGUGUUUAUGAGUAUGAAAUAGUGGGAUUUGGUGUACCUUAGCAUCUUUUGAAAAUUCUCUUUAUGUGUGGCCAACAGAAUAUAAUCAAGUUUCUUAAUCGUGUAUAUUAGUUUUGGGUAUGAAUGUUCCUAUUCUAGUUCUAGGCAAAGCUUCUUCAUUUUGGUCUUCAGAUUUCCAGUAGGUUAAGUUAAUCAACUAUCACAACUGACUAGCUAGUUAUUGUCUGCCUUGGCGCCAUUACCCAGGCCAUUAUAUUGCAUAGCAUAAGGAAUAGUGAUUAGGUGAUUAUUAGUGAUUUGUUGAGCUUAUUAUUGACCAAACAAACAUAUUCGCCUUUGCCCACAACUUAGUUUGAUUAGUUAUUAGACCUUAAAGAGCCUUGAUCUAUUCAUUGGCUUUAUUAUUUUUAUUUGGUUUUUCUUUCAACAAUAUUGUUGAUUUCUUAUAAAAAUAUUCAUUGGUUUUUAAACACCUAAUCAUUGGCUAUAUGAAGCUAAUUAAAACUGAGGCUUUGGAUCAAUUUCUUCUAACAGGAUACAAAUGAGCAUAACCUAUCUCCUCUAAGUAAAUUUUUUUAAUAUCCUUGAUUUGUAAGGAUCUGGAGGCCUGAAAUCCUCUAGAUUUUUUUUAACACUGUCAAUGUUCUUUUUAUUCUGAAAAGGAAAUAAAAGGUUUUAUCUUUCAUACCCUAAUAGUAAGCUGACCUUGUCUUACCCGAGGAUUUGCAAGAUUCAUAGUGCCCCCCCCCCCCCCCCCCCAAAAAAAAAAAAAACACAAAUAGGAAGAUUUUGCAAGAUUCACCACCAGGUUUUUUUUCAUUUAUUAAUUGUGUGUACGUACUAGUUAUAUGUUGAAAGAAUAGGAAGAAGUAUUUCAACAUGAAUGAAUGACUUAAAACUUAUUGCUCAGUAAACAUAAUCUGCAUCAGUGCGAAAAUGUAUUUAUCGGUUGUAUUUUUUAUGGUUUUGCUUAAGAAAUGAUAUGUGAAAUAAUGCUACAUUGUAUCAGGAAUAAAUUGAAGAGAUUUAUGAUAUUUAUGUGUUAUUCAAAUUUCAGAUUCAAUUUUAAAUACGUGCAUUGAAAGCUUAGACUUGUUUAAGAAAUUAUUAAUAGACACAUGUUUUAUUAGUGUCAUCUUUGGAUGAUAGUGAGGUUCAUAUGUCUAUUAAUAAUUCUUGAAUUGUCCAGGCUUGGGCAGUUUGGGAAUGCAUAGUUCUCUCUGGUAGCUAGUAGCUGAAGUUUUUUUCGCAAGUAAAAAUGGGUUUUUCGGUAGCUGCUCCUCGUGUUCUCUGGGUACGUACUAGGUGAAUGGGUGUCAUGUGUUGUUUUGGCAUAACGCAUAAACACUUAUAUAGCUAUGUUGUGUGCUUCGAGAAUUAUAGGGAGAUGGUGCCGAAAUUUUUAUAAACGUAGAAGAAAACUUUAGGUACUUGAGAUUGAAGAAACUUAUGCAUUCUUGAGUGGGAUAUGUAGGAUUACUUACCUUUUGUAAAUAUGAAGGGAAUGUUGGAUAUAUUGAGGAUAGUGUAGGAGCUGAGUUGGAUGAAUGUAAUUGGUCAUGAUUUUGCUGAGCUGACCUUGGUUUUGAGCUUGUAAUUUUGUUUGUAAAUGGAGUGCUAUCUCCAAUGUUGGUUUAUAAAAAUGUUUCAGGACUUGCUGACCUAAUUUUUUUUUUCCUAGGUUACAGGCUUUAUAUAUCUGUAAUUGAUAGCCAAGUGAAGUUCUCAGCACUUGGCGAGGAUAUUUCUUUACAGAAGGUAUUGGAAACUGUUUUUUACAUUAAUUAUUGUUGUAUAUAUACUUUGAUUUUCACAUCUUUUUCUCUGAUUCUUGUGGCUUUGCUUGCUUUCAUAUAUGUAAAUUCUAAUGAAAUUAACCAUAAAAUUGUAAAAUGAUCUUUUUAUUAUAUUGCAAAACCGUGCACACACGAAAAUAUCUUGUUUAGUAGUAGAAAUGAAGAACUAAAAUGAUUUACUUAACUAAUUUUUGUAGCGCAUUAAAAGGAGAUAGUCAUGGACAAGUGUUGGGCUGGUUUGCCAAAUAGAUAUCCAAGUCAUAUACUGAUGGGGUUGAAAAUUUUAUAGAUUUUGCAUUUGAGAAUGUUGUUGAUGAUGAUAUGAUUGGAAUGAUACACUGCAUCACGUAAUCAAAUGUUCAAGUUACACGCAGCAUUGUUAUGGAUUAUCAGUCACUUUCUAGUAUUGCCAACUUGUCUGGGUGGAGUAUUAAAGGUAAAUAAGCAUGUCUUGUUUGCCAACAAAACACUAGAUCUAAUUGGUUGAUACAUAGUAGAAAAUUUUGUCACGUGGGUCACCGUCGAUUUUUACCAACAAAUCAUAGGUUUCGAAAAUAUAGUUUCUUUUGAUAAAACUAGAGAGUAGGGACAAGCACCUUCUUGGUUGUCUGGAACUGAAGUGAAAAAGCAGUUUAAUAUACUUACUGAGUAUAAGAUUGAAGACUUGAAAAGAGAAAUGAUAAGAUUACUUGGAAGAAGAACAGCAUUUUUUUAUGAACUACCGUAUUCAUCAUGAUCUUGUUGUCAUGCACUGCUUUGAUUUUUGUUAUGAACUCAGAUCAAAAGUUUAAUGUGAUCAAAAUUUCUUAAAAAUAGUGAAAACGACUCCUCCUAAUAAUAUGGAAGAUGGCUAUAAAAGAUAAAAGGAAAGGCUUAAAAAGAAAAGCCAUGCCUGUCAAAAAAAAAUAAAAAAAUUGGCAGCGUCAAAUUUAUAACAAAAAUCAAAACGGUUUUGAGAGUGUAUUAAAAUACAUUUAGAGUGGGAGCUGUGUUGUUUUUUGAAGGUAGAAUGAUUGUGAGAUAUUUGUCGACGAAGCCAAAACCAAAGAUGAAGCCCAUAGAGCUCAAAACUCCACCGGAGCAAAUUCAGACAAUUACGAGGGUUAUGUUUGACAUAGUCAAGGAACACAGUCCUCUCACCGUUGCCGAAACUUGGGAAUGCGUCAAGGUGUGUGUAUCUGUUAAAUUGAAUUUCAACCCGUUUGAUCUGUAAUUAUAAUUAAUCCAAUCGAUCUGACAGUGAUCACUAGUAGUUGUUUUACAUUUUCAGCAAGCUGGAGCGAGUGGAUUGACGGCCAAAAGCCACAUGAAGAUUGUGUUGAGAUGGAUGAGGGACAGACAAAAGCUCAGGUUCGUCUGCAAUCACGUGGGCCCUCAUAAGCAAAUCCUGUACACAACUUGGUUCACCAAACCCGACAACUUGAAGCAGCCAAAAUCAGGGAAUGAUGCUUCUAUGUCACAACCCUAGAAAUUUCAAACACGGUGAAGAUGAAGUAAAGCAUAAGUAGAACAAUGAAGAUGGUAGCCCCUCAGCAUGUAAACUUUUCAACAGUAACACAGCUCUUAUUCCAGAGGCUGCACAGAAGAGCGACCUGAGUCCCCUUCAAAACUUUCAAAUUUUUAUCAAGUAAAGCUUUCAAAUUUCUCAACAAAUUGAUUAUUUGUGUGGUUGCCACAUUUUGUGCAACUGCCAUUCGUGUUCAAGUUCAAAUUCCUUGCCUAGUAAGUUAGGGAAGAGAGAUGUGAAGCAAACAGGGAAACAGAACAAACCGGCCAAAUUUAAAAUGACAGAACAGUAAUGAUGGCAAUUAACAAACUAAUAGCAAUAUUACAUUUGAUUCUUUAGCCCAAUUGUUCCUUCUGUCAGCAUUCUUCAAAAGUUUUUGAAAAUUAGAUGUGAAGCAAACAAAAUAAAACAAAUUUAGACAACAGAAGCCCUGUAUUCAGCAUCAUAUAUAUACCUUGAAUACCUAAUAUAAUAAAUUUCACAUCUAAAAUACUAGAAAUUUCAAACAGUACCAGCAAUAGAAUAAUGACAACGACAACAAUAACAGAAAAUUACAAGAUUGCUGAUAAAAUUUCAUUUGCAUGGAUGUAUAACAAAAAUUCUGUGAUUUAAUGUGCGUUCAUGCAUGCAAGUCCUAACGUUCCUGUGAUCACAAAAUGAAACUGAAGAUAAAUCAGAACAACUACCAAACCUCUGACUGAAAGUUCAAAAGAAUUUAUAUUCAAAAUGUCAAAAUAUACUGGAAAUUUAUUGCACAUAUUACAAGAAGCAGUACACACCAAUGGUAAAUUGAUACAUCGUUUUUGAACUUAACAAAGUCAAAUGAAAGAAACACGACGGAGGGUUAAUGUAAAAGUGAAUACCCUCAGCAUGUAAACUUAACUUCAAAGGACGGAGCACAAGUUUCACAGAAAAGUAGCUCUUAUUCCUGAUGCUGCAAACACACAGGAGUGACCUCAAUCUUCUUCAUAACUUGGGAAUUCUGCAAUUAUAGAGCACGACAUUGAGCAUGAACUAGAAAAAAUAUUUAUUUUGUACAAUUUUCAUAUAACUUGACUAACCAAGAUUAAUUUCGUGGUAAUGUAUUGAGUCAUUAAUUCAUAUGUUUUUAAAUAUUUUUAAAAAACUAAUUUCUCAAUUUGAAAUGGCCCAUAAAAAUUAUUCUCAUAUAAAAACUAAAUUUGACAGACCCCUCGAUUAAAGCAGGGGAAAAGGCUUUCCACAUGAAAAUGUUGUUUGUCACUUUGAAUGAUAUUUUGAAGGGAUUUCAUUCUAAAAAUAAAAUACCUGGGACCUCAUUCUUCAAAAUUGACAACUCGCCAGGUAUUAAAAGCGUAUGAGAUCAGUACUGCGACGAGUAAGAAGACGACCCCUCCAACAGCUGAAAACAAAAUUCGCAUUCAUCAAUUUAAAUUAAAAUUCAUAUUAUGAAACUAAAACUAAUGAUUAGUGAAUUUUCGAGGAAUUUAAUAAGAUUCUCAGAUAUAAACGUGAUAACAAAUUCACUCAUCAAUAACAAAUAAUCUAACAGUUAUCCGUACCUUUUCUUGAUGUAAUUGUUGUAUGGUUGUGUUAAGGUCAUUAUUAGACCAACGCAGGUUGUCCUCUCUCUGCCCGUACCGGACGUUUACUCUGACAUGGGUACUUAAUUCUCCUGAAGUGAAAAUCUUCAUCUUGGGACAACCAAUCACAGCAAGAUAUUCCAAAGAUGGGAAUUUGAAGGCGUAAUUGCCAGAGGAGAAGCUUGUGAGACUAUCUAAAUCAAACAGGGACAACGUAGUCAGUUUGCUGAAAACAAUCUCUUCUUUUAAAUUUGCUGUUUCAUCUUCGUCACUUAUUACGACUUCUGUGAUUGCUCUGCAUCCAAAUACACCCAAUGAUACGAGUCGCUCUAGACUUUUUGCUGUGGAGGAUGUUAGUAAGUUCAUCAAUUUCUUGCAAGCACAAGCUUGCAGGCGUGUGAGAUUCUGAAAAGAUACCGAUGAUGAUGGCAAUAGACUUAACAGAUUUUGACAGUAAUAUGCUCUUAGAAUUUCAAGAUGUUGAAAAAUCAAGUCCGGCUGUUUGGAAUCGUGUUUCCACAGUUGCUGCAGAUGAUUAAGUCUGGUCAGGUGUAACAUUUUUAUCAGUGCCAGCUUCCUCGCAUGUGUCUCCAAAUAUCCUUCAUUUGAAAAUACCACUUCGUACGAACAAUCCGACAGGUGGAGAAAUUCCAGAUUGUGAAACCUCUCAAGUAAACCAAGUGGAAAGCAAGCUAAGUCAUCAUCCCCAACCUGUAGUCGUUUGAGACUGCCAAAGAGGUGUUGUGGGAAAUCGCCUUGCAAAAUCAUCGUGAUGUCUUUUCCACUUAAUGCCAGUUCCUCCAAGUUGGGUAAGAUCUGAUCAUCAUCAAGCACAAAUUAUUAACUUAGCACAUUGAUCCCUAAUUCGAGACUGGCAAAAUUCAUUGUUAUAUACACACACAUAUAUAUAUAGUAUUUAUUAAAAUUUCUGGUCUGUGAGUAAGAAACAACAAAGACAACUGACAAAAAAUCUAAAAGUUGGUUUCAUACCUUCUUGAACGAGAAUAGGGGCUGUUGUGCCGGAACACCAAAUUGAUCAUUCUCGUUAUUCUGGGAUAACGUCAUUUUAUCACAAUUACACGCCUCCAAUAUUUUUAGUGCUGGCCAUUCCGAUGUAUGCAUUCCAGGGUAUAAACAUCUAAGUUCUGGUAGACCUUCGAGUUUCAGAGUGGUCACCCGUGGAAAGACAAAAUAAGCGGUCACUUGAUCUGUUCUGUUUUCAGAAAUGAUUUCUUGUAAACUCUUACAUAACCGUAUCUCCAGGUGUUGGAGUUGCUCAAGGCUUUGGAUCGUAGAAGCUGAAAAUAUGUAUUUUAAUUUGUCACAGCCCCACACUAUCAAUCGUGUCAAACUUCGAAGGCAAGGAACCAUGGCCGGAAGUUGAUUGUAAUGCCAAAUCUCGUCGACAUUAAUAGCAUUCAGCUCCAAAGCCUCCAAAUUUGGCAACACUACCUAAAGAUAAUUUUGUCGUUAGAUCCAAUAUCCAUAUAAGAAGUGCUUAUUGAGAGCUUAAUUAGUGAGUGUAUGAGAUUUUUUUUUUUUGCAUUUUCUUUUUCUAAAUGAUUUAAUUUUUUUUCACUUAUGGCAUCAAAUGCAAGUUCAUGAUAGAAUAAAAAAAAAAAUGCAAUAUCCAUAUGAAAAGGACUUGUGUGGUCCAGUUUGGGAUUAUGGAUGCUGAUUAAAUAAGUUGCUCCUGCUGUACGGAUGCAAUAAGUAGUUGAUUAAAAAAGCAGUUAGCUGUUUGGUAAACUGUGUUGUUGCAGUUGCUGUGAGUUUGAAAAGCAAUGUACAUGCGUUUGGUAAAUUUUAUUACAAACGUGUUAUUUUAUCAUAUAAUGACCAAAAUAUAUAUAAGUUUAAAUUUCCGUUUAUUUUUUUUAAGCAUGUUUAAUAAUCUUUAGAUAUGUCAUUUUCUUUUUAAAAUACGUAAAAUUAUAUUAAGUGAAAAAACUUAAUAAUUUGUUACAUAAAAUAUGAUAAAAAUUUAUACUAGUAUAUGAUCCAAAUAAAAUAAAAAAAGUAAUAUGCAUUACUUUCACAUUAAACUUGUUGCAAUAAACACCAUGACUAUAGAAAAUAUAAAUAGAUUGAAUGUUAAAAGCUAUGGUUAUAAAAUUGAUUUUAAAAGUUAUGAUUAAUUUUCAUGUGAAAUUGUUUAUAGUUCAAAAAAAAUUUACAUAAUUACAUGCAAGUCUUUUUUAAUCUUAUUAUAGAAAAUACAAGUAUAAUAUAAAAAAUAUGAACUUACUAAAUCAAAACUUUGAUAUUAGAGAGAAUAUAUAGUAGUUGUGGUGGUAAUAUGAUAUCUAAUAACUUAUAUAUUAGAGUGUAUGGAAAUAUAUGACAUAAUUAUUUUUGUUAAAAUAUUAAUUAAGGUUAUAAUAGAAACUUUAAAAAGAUGUGAUAGCUUAUUUAAUAAGCUGCUUAUGAAAAGUAACUCCCUAUCUGCUUUUAAAAGUUAAUGUCAAAAUAGAGAAAAUUAUAAAAUAAACAGUUUUUACAAAAUUUAACAAAUACUAUUUUUGUCACAGAUUAUGAAAUAGACAGUUUAUUGAGUUUUAACCUCAAUUCCAAACAGGGGCCACAAUAUCCACAUGACAAGCACUUAUUGAGAGCUUAAUUUGUGAAUAUAUGAGAUUUUUUUUUCUUUUUCUAAAUGAUUUAAUUUUUUUGCACAUAUGGCAUCAAAUGCGAGUGCAUGAUAGAAUAAAGGAAAAAAAAAAAAAAAGAAUGCAUUACCCUACGCACCUUCUCGUUGAAAAGCAGAGUUGAAGUAUCCGAACUGAUCUCGUUGGAACUAGCUAUCAAUUCCUCUUGCGACUCUUGUCUGUUUGGUGAUGUGGAAGGAGUCUUCACUUCACGGCAAAACCUUGUAACCUUUGGAAGCGUUCCCAGACUCAAAGAUCUUAGUUGACCAAACUCUAUCGUCUCAUCAACAUCGACAUCAGCUUCUCCUCCAGUUGCAAAAAUCUCUUCCAUGCUGCUGCAAUUGAGAACUGCAAUCCUCUCAAGUCUUGGAAGGCAUUUUGUACUACUAGAGAGCCAGAAGAUAUUACUCAUCUCAUCACAAUUUUCCACUUUUAUGGUUUGGAGUUCAUUGAAGGACUCUAUUGUGAGUCGAUCAAUACAUAUCCUCUCCAUAUUGAUCAAAUUGUGAAGAGUAAGGGACUCCAAAAGAGGAAAGGCGACACAAGGUUCUCUCUCCAUUGAAUCGGCAAUACACAGGAAGUCUGGAUUAUUUUGAACAUGGAGAUGCUUCAAUUGUGAAAAGCCCUCAGUGUCCAAUUCGAAAACAACAUUCUUGAUUCCUUGCAACUUAUCUAAACAUAAGUAUUCAACGUUAUUGAUGCCCUGCAACUUCUCGGAGCAAAUGGCCAUAGAAUCAAGCUUGAGCUUCAAUGUUCUUAAACUCUCAUGAUUACUGAUUGUUAGAGCAGCUCAUUAUGCUGAACAGAAGAAGGUGAAGACUAAGAUGAAGAAAAUACAGAGCAAGUUACAGGGCAAGUGUGUCAGCAGUGCCAGCUCAGCUAACAGCUCAGCAGAUUAGUUAAAGAUGGUUGUAAGCAUGAUGUGCAUUGUACUGAAGUUAGUUAGCUUUGAUUACAGUUAGUCUUUGGAUUAGUUAAAUGAAGUUACCGUGAUUGCAUUGUAUAUAAACAGGUGAUGCUUUGUAAUCAAAAGUUAAGCAAAAUAAAAAUCAAAGUUUGUUAAGGAAAUAUCUCCAGAAUUAUCAAUUCAUUUUCUUAGUAACCAAACAACUUUAUUUCAUUUUUCUUUCAUGGUAUCAGAGCAAGGUUAAUGGCUAGUUCCAGUAGCACAACAUCAAAUCCAAAUCAAAUGAAUAUAAAUCAAUCAUCACAUAUCUCCUUUUCGUUCAGCACUCCAGUCAAAUUGGAUCGAUCAAAUUUCAUGAUUUGGCGAAAGCAAGUUCUUACUACAAUAAGAGGAAAUCGUCUUGAAGAUUUUAUUUCUGGAAAUCAAAUCAUACCAGAACAAUACAUUUCUAAUACAGUAGCUGAUGGAUCAGUACAGAGAAUCACGAAUCCAGCUUACAUCAACUGGCGAGCUCAGGAUCAAACUUUGCUUGGCUGGAUUUUGUCAUCCAUAAGUGAAGGUAUCUUAAAUACUGUUCUUAAUUGCGAAAAUUCAUUUGAAGCAUGGAGAUCAAUUGAAAAACAAUUUGGAGUACAAUCUGAGGCUAGAGUAUUGCAAUUGAGGUAUGAAAUGAAUGUCCUUAGAAAAGAGAAUAUGUCUGUUGAGGAGUACUGUUUAAAAGUAAAAGCUGUUGCUGAUAAGCUUGCUUGUGCUGGUAGCCCUGUGUCUGAGAAAGAUCUGCUAAUGCAAAUUUUGAAUGGCCUAGGACCUGGAUUUCUAGAUCUUGCUUCAAUAAUUACUGCUAAUAGAAUGUCGUAUGAUGAUGCUUAUGCAUUACUCUUAACACAUGAGGCAAGAAUGGAACAAAAUCAUAAUACUAAAGAUCUUUUUAGUGCAAACUAUGGGAUGAUGAAUGCUAACUACUCUCAGUUUAGAGGAAAUAAUAAGAGAGGUGGUUAUAGUGGAUAUCAAGGGCAAUUUAAUGCUGGAAAUAGGAAUCAAAAUGGAGGAAGAGGAAUGUUUUUCAAUUCAUUCUCAAGAGGUUUUCCAGCUGGUGGAUAUACUGGUAAUGCUGGUGGCAGAGGACAGCAAAUGAAUGCAUAUGCUUAUAAACCUGUGCUUAACAACAGGCAUAAUUUCAAUAUGAAUCAUGGCUCAACUUCAAUGUCCAAUGGAAAUGGAUCUGAUGAUAAUGUGCUUAUCUGUCAAAUCUGUCAUAAAGCUGGACAUGCAGCUGAUGUUUGUUGGCACAGACACUUUGAUGGCUAUGCUCCUCAACCCAGACAAUUUGGAAGGGGCAGAGGGCAUAAGUCUGCUUAUAUGGCUAACUUUGAUCCACAAAUUGGCUUUACUUCACAAUUUGAAGAUUCGUUUGCUACAGAAUAUCCUGGUUAUCAUGGGUACCAUCCACCUGAUAUGAAUGCAUCAGUUGCAUCAGUAAGUCAUCACUCAUCUGAUAUGCAUUCUGUACCUGGAGCAGCUUAUAUUGCAAAUUUUGAAGGACCAGCUGAUGAAGGGUGGUAUCUUGAUAGUGGAGCUACGCAUCACAUCACUAACAACAUGGCCAAUAUGCAUAUCAGAGAUCAAUUCAGUGGAGCAGAUCAGCUCAUUAUUGGAAAUGGACAAGGUUUGCCCAUAACUCAUGUUGGUGAUGCAUCCUUUCUCUUUAAAAGUUCCAAUUCUACACACAAACACUCACCUAUAGUACUUAAAGAUAUUCUGUUGGUGCCUUCCAUUACCAAAAAUUUGUUAAGUAUCUCGAAGCUUACCACUGAUAACAACUUGUCUGUUGAAUUUCUUGGAAAUGUUUGUUUUGUGAAGGAUUCUCUGAGGGGACAGGUACUUCUGCAGGGUCUUGCUGAGAAAGGGUUAUACAGGCUGUUAUUGAAAUCAUCAUCAUCCUCUCAGUUAUCAUCAUCUUUUCUUUCUCACAUGUGUUCCAAUAAACCUUUGUCUAUGCUUUCUUGUUGUUGUUUCAAUUCUGUUCCUUCUGGAGUUGUUACAGAAUCUCAGAAAUCAUGUAAUCAAACUGAUGAUUCAUCUUGUAAAACUUCAGUUAAUAAAGCUAUUUUGCUUCAUAGAAAGUUUGGUCAUCCCAAUCAUCAAAUAUUAACUCAUAUACUCAAAACAGCAAAAUCUAUUCAUUUACCUGCAUAUCAAAAGCAACAAAUGCAUCAGCACAUCUGUGAGGCCUGUCAAAUGGGCAAAACACAUAAACUUCAUUUUCCUAUUACUGAAACCAAAACCUCCAAAACUCUAGAACUUAUACACACUGAUUUAUGGGGUCCUUCUCCCAUUAUUUCUAGAGAUGGUUAUCAGUAUUAUAUAAGUUUUGUAGAUGACUACAGCAGGUAUACAUGGAUUUAUCAUUUGAAGCUAAAGUCUGAGGCAUUAGAAGUCUUUAAGCUCUUUAAACUGCAGGUUGAAAAUCAGUUUAGCACAACCAUUAAGAUGAUGCAAUCUGAUUGGUGGGGAGAGUAUAGACCAUUCACUGAGUUUUUAAGCCAAUUUGGUAUCAUCUUUAGACAUCCUUGUCCUUAUACUCAUCAUCAAAAUGGGUUAGUUGAAAGGAAGCAUAGACAUAUUGUUGAAUUGGGUCUGACUCUCUUAGCUCAAGCUCAACUUCCCUUUAAGUUCUGGUGGGAUGCAUUUCAUACUGCUGUAUAUCACAUCAACAGACUUCCAUCUCCUGUUUUGCACCUUUUAACCCCAUAUGAAAAGACAUUCAAACACAAACCUGAUUAUGAUUUUCUCAGAUGUUUUGGGUGUUCUUGUUAUCCUUACUUGAGAGAUUACAAUAAACAUAAAUUUGCCUACCAUUCUAGUAAGUGCAUAUUCAUUGGUUACAGUCCUUCACAUAAGGGCUACAAAUGUUUACACCCUUCAGGUCGAGUCUAUGUGGCAAGACAUGUUACCUUUGAUGAAUCAGUUUUUCCUUAUGCCACUGAGUUUGUUUUUCAUAGUCAUGCUAAAACUGAUUCUCAAAUUUCUCAUUCCCAUACACCACAGCAAAUCCAUCAUAUCUCUUCUUUGCCUGUCAAUAACAGCACUGGUAAUCUGAACUCUGUAAGAUCUGGAAGCAGCAGUUCAAGUCACUCAGAUCAUCUAGAACAGACAGCAACUGAUCAGAAUUCACAACAAGCUACCAUAAAUGACAGGUCACCUUUUCAUACAUGUCCAACAAUUGUUGAAUCUAUACAAAAUAUUCCAGAACCUCCACAUCACUCUUUGCCUAUACAAAGUCACCAUCCUAGCAACACCUCUUUCUAUCCAUAUACACAACCAAAUACACAUCAGAUGAUAACCAGAAGUAAAGCAGGGAUUUUCAAACCCAAAAUUUAUACUGCUGUGCUUACUCACAAGGAACCAGAUACUGUGCAAGAAGCAUUAAAUGAUUCAAAGUGGCUACAAGCUAUGAGGGAGGAAUAUGAUGCCUUGAUUAAGAAUAAUACAUGGACAUUGGUUCCAAGACAAGCUGAUCAGCAUGUGGUUGGAAAUAAAUGGGUGUAUAGAAUCAAAUAUAAUACAGAUGGAAGUAUAGCUAAGUAUAAAGCUAGACUUGUUGCAAAGGGUUUUCAGCAAGUGGCAGGGAUUAACUAUUUUGAGACAUUUAGUCCAGUUGUGAAGUCAGCUACAGUUAGAGUAAUACUUAGCUUGGCAGUGAUGAAUCAGUGGAGAAUAAGGCAAGUGGAUGUCAAUAAUGCCUUUUUGAAUGGAGAGCUAACAGAAGAAGUUUUCAUGUCUCAACCUGAUGGCUUUAUUGAUGCUCAGAGAUCUGAUUUUGUAUGCAAAUUACACAAGUCUCUGUAUGGGCUCAAGCAAGCUCCUAGAGCCUGGUAUGACAAGCUUAAAGGAUGCUUAAUAAGCUGGGGUUUCACUACUACUAGUUCUGACACCUCAUUGUUUGUUAGGAAGAUCAAGACAUCUAUGAUCAUAGUUCUUAUAUAUGUUGAUGACAUACUGAUCACAGGUCCAAACACUGAGGAGCUGGAAGGUUUCAUAACUGAAUUCAGCAAAACUUUUGCUCUAAAGGAUCUGGGAGUGUUAUCUUAUUUCCUUGGAAUUGAGGUAUUAUAUGAUGCAGAUUGUAUGUACUUGUCACAGAGAAAGUAUAUCAGAGAUUUGUUAUCGAAGGUAGAAAUGACUGAAUGUAAGGGCAUUGAUACACCCAUGAGUACUGGCUCUAAACUGCAAAAGAUAGUUCAGGGGGAACUUGGAUACUAUCUUGAAGAUCCAACUCAUUAUAGAAGCAUAGUUGGAGGAAUGCAGUACCUGAUACUUACCAGACCUGAGAUUGCGUUUGCUGUAAACAAGCUCAGUCAGUAUGUAGCUGCACCAACACUACAACAUCUAAUGGCAUGCAAGAGAGUUCUAAGAUAUCUGAAGGCAACUCAAGAUUAUGGUUUAAAAUUUUUCAGAGAAGGAAGCUUAACACUCACUAGUUUUACUGAUGCAGAUUGGGCAUGUGACUUAGAUGAUAGGAAAUCAGUUGGUGCUUAUUGCAUUUAUUUAGGCAAUAAUUUGAUAUCCUGGUCUUCUAAGAAACAAUCAGUGAUAACCAGAUCAAGUGCCGAGAGUGAGUAUAGAGCUUUGGCAUCAGUGAGUGCAGAGCUGACAUGGUUACAAUCCUUAUUUUCUGAGUUGGGAUUAAGUUGCAUAGAAAAGCCAAUCAUAUGGUGUGACAACAUUAGUGCCACUGAACUAGCAAAGAAUCUUGUGUAUCAUUCAAGAACAAAGCAUAUCGAAAUUGAUAUGCACUUCAUUAGGAAUAAGGUUCUUGCUGGUGAGUUGAUUAUUCACUAUGUACCAAGUGAAGAACAGAUUGCAGACAUAAUGACCAAGCCUCUCUCAUUUGUAAGGUUUAACUACUUGAGGUCCAAACUCAAUGUCCAUCUUUGUCCUCUGAGUUUGAGGGGGGCUGUUAGAGCAGCUCAUUAUGCUGAACAGAAGAAGGUGAAGACUAAGAUGAAGAAAAUACAGAGCAAGUUACAGGGCAAGUGUGUCAGCAGUGCCAGCUCAGCUAACAGCUCAGCAGAUUAGUUAAAGAUGGUUGUAAGCAUGAUGUGCAUUGUACUGAAGUUAGUUAGCUUUGAUUACAGUUAGUCUUUGGAUUAGUUAAAUGAAGUUACCGUGAUUGCAUUGUAUAUAAACAGGUGAUGCUUUGUAAUCAAAAGUUAAGCAAAAUAAAAAUCAAAGUUUGUUAAGGAAAUAUCUCCAGAAUUAUCAAUUCAUUUUCUUAGUAACCAAACAACUUUAUUUCAUUUUUCUUUCACUGAUCAUAAAGUGCUGCCGACAUUCAAACCAGUCGUUCCCAAUAACCUUGGUAGAGUCGAAUGAUGCAUCUCCUAUUGAUAUAUCAAACCUUUCCAGCUUUUUGGAAAAAAAGCCAUCCGGUAAAAUGCUAUCGUUUUUAACAUCUAUUUCUAAAGUGGUCAAUCGCCUCAAAUGCAUCAAUUCGUCGAGGGUGGCAUUACUUCUUUCACUAUUGGCUUUUUCAACUUCCCAUUCAACAGGGGAAUUACCCAUAUACAGUUCUUCCAAUCGAGUGAAGCUUGAUAAGAUGUUGGGCAAAAUAAAUUUUAGUUGCAAACAAUCUCUUAAAUCUAGCAGCCUUAACUUAGUCAGUUGACCUAGUUCGUAAGGCAACCGUACAAUAUCAGACCUUAAAAAGCUAAGGAUUUCUAGAUUCUUCAACUUCCCAAUUAUGGCUAUGUCUCCCAACAUGCUUUGUACUAGACACAGUGUUUGAAGAUUUGCUAGAAGAUCGAUUGAAGAUGGCAAUGAAAAUAAUCGCAUUCCUGUCAAAUCCACAACUCGAAGCUUUUUCAUCCCUUUGAAAAAGUUCUCAGGGAUAUUGAGCUCGACAAAAGAGUCUUUGGGAUGAAUAAGUAAAAAUUCAAGUUGCGGACAUUCCAAUUCCUUAGAAACUUCAUGAAUGCUACUAUACAGUAAAGAGAUUGCAGAGCAUUUUUUAAGUGCAUCCUCAUCUGGCCACUCCCACACAACCUCACUUCUCACCAAGAAAACAUGUUGUUCUCGACAUGCAAUUGAAAUGGCAACAUCGCAGACAACAUCAUGCAUAGAAAAUUGUUCAUUACUAUCACCCUCAAGCAAAAAACAACAAUCUCUAAGUUCAUGGAGCAAUGCAUAUAAUUUGUUUCGUGCAUCUACCAUCCUGUUGACUCCUUGAAAUAUGCCCAAACCCAUAGAGUACCUAAACAAGUCUAGAAACCAAAAACUGUUACCUAUUAGACUACAGAGAAGAAAAUUUUUCUUGAGUUGCUCACCUUUUAAAUACUUGAAACUCAGCUCAAUACUUGAAUAAGUCUCUGCAGGCACACCUUCGAAGUUUACCAUUGAAGGCGUUUGGAGUUCUCGCAAGGCAUUCUUCCAUUCAUGCAGAGUCUUGUUUCUCAGUGCCCUUGCCACUGUAGUCAAGGCAAUGGGCAAACCUCCACAUGCCUGGGCUACAUUAAUUGCUAUAGACUUGAACUUACAAUUGUCAACAUCAUCACCAAUCAUUAUCUUAAACAAUCUCCAAGCUUCUUCUUCAUUUAGAUUGCCAAUCAAAAAGUUAUCUUUGGAGCCCAUACUUAAUAGUACAUUAUUAUCUCUUGCUGUGAGCAAUAGUCUACAUCCUUUAUGAUCAUUUCCAAAAGGAAUUCCAAUCGUCUCCAAAUCAAGAUGUUUCCAGAUAUUAUCUAGAAUCACAAGAAUCUUAUUCUCAUUCUUCAAUCGUUCAUACAGCCUGCUGGCUCUUCUAUAUUCAGCUUCAUCGGACAACUCCAGACCUAACUUCUCUGCAAUUUCCCCUUGUAUCUUUUUUAUGUCUGGAGUUUGUGAAACCUCUGAAAAAACCACACGAUCAAACAGCUUCUUUUCCCUGGCUUGCCUAGCAAACUCCUUCACCAGUGUCGUCUUUCCAAUGCCGCCCAUGCCGUACACCCCAAUAAUGCUGACGUUCACAUCAGUCAACACAUUUUGUAUAGACUUCAAAGUAGAAACUCUUGAUUCGAAGGCCUCGUAACCUUUGUUAGACUUAAGCCAUAUCUCCUCCGGAAUGGCACGGUGGGAAACGAUAUCAAACUUCUUAACUUCUUCUCCAAGUUCAACAAGGGCCUUCACCUCUGUCUCUGCUUUCUUGCUAAGCUGAUAGCGGGUCUUCAAAUUAGGACACAAGCCCUUGAGACAGCGCUUAUUUGUUGACUCUUCAUCUUCAACGAAUUUGGCUGCCCGGUCAAUGAUGCCGUUAGCACUAACCAGCCACUUCUCAACCUUCUCUUCAAUCUCUUCCCCUUUUUCUUUCGCCUCUGAAACUCUGCGCUGAAUGCUCGUACGUUCAACCUUCAACUUCUCCAUUUCCGCCUUGAGAUUCUCAAGGUUGGCAUUGUAGUUCCGCUUGCGCAAAUAAACAAGUUGGCGUUCUGUUGGAGGAGCCAAGCAUUUUACAAGUUCCAAAAUGAGAGUAACAAUGAUUUCCAGCAUCUUGAAUCCUGACAACAAUGUAGAAAUGAAGAAGGCCAAAGGACAGUAAGAACAGAGAGACAACGAUACGACAAGCAGUUAUGGAGCUAAAAAUAAAUAACAAACAAACAGAAGCAAAGUGUUUUUCGAAUGAGAAGAAGGAAGCAAGAAAAGGGUUUCUAUUUAGAUUAAGAAUGAAUGUAAAGAAGUGACAAAGAUGUCACAUAAUGUAAUUAAGUACUGAAUCCAAAUCCUAUCCUAAAUGGUUAGAUAAAAAUAAGGGAAUGAAAAGAGUAAUGGUAGAUUAAUUUAUGAGGCCAAUUAACGAAACGACAGAUCUGGUUUCCAUGUUUGUAAUUUAAGUGUAUGAGUACGAGGUGAACCAACUCUUUGUCGAGUCAAGCAAUUAGAAGGAGAAAUUACUAAAACAAGAACCAGCAACUUUUACUCACACAAGAGCUAAUAAUGUAUUGAGAUUGUGCAGAGUAAUACAAAACCUUAAAACUAGUAUAAUAAAUUUGUCAUCAAGUUUUAGCCUUCUUCUUCAACCAAUUACAGCACUAUCUUGAGCUCUGAGUUUCUUUUUUUAAAAUUUUUCAAAAGAUCUUUGUCAUUAGUUUUUCAAUGAUAAAAAUUAUAUUUUUAUCUCAUAAAAUAUAAAAUUUUAAAAAAAUCAAACAUAUAUUAUAGGUUUGUUUGAGAUUAUUUUUAAAGGCUCAAAAGUCACUUUUUAAAGUUAAAUGUUAAUUUUGGUAUUUGGUAAAAUUUUUAGAAAUCACCUUUGGUAAAAUCACUUAUCCCACAACAAAUUUCGGAAAGCAAAAAAGGAAUAGUUUGUCAAAAUCUAAUUUUGAUAACCAGUUUUAUACUUAAUAUAAUUCUAUAUACAACCUUAUAUAUAUUAUAAAAAAAAAAUAUCCUUAUUAUUUAGGAAAUAAAAUUAUUAAUUUUAAAGAUAUUUUAACAAUUACAUUGAGAUAACAAAAUAAAAAUAAAAUUAAUAAUAUAAAAUAUCUAUUUCUGUUAUCAAUUAUUAUAUAUACAAGAUAAAAAAAAUAUGUUAUAUACAUGUUUAUAAAUGUAUAAAUAAAUUUUAUCUAACAUUAUGUUCAAUUAAGUCAUUUACAUUAAUAGCACUUUUACAAGUAAAUUUUCCUAAAUGUUUAACUGAUUAUCUUCACAGUGAUUAUUUCCACAACAUAACUACCAGAAAUUAUUGUAAAAGAUACAACAUUACCAAAAAAAUAUUGAGGUACAUUUUAAUUAAGUAAUUGACUUAAUUAUGAAUCAAUUUAUUAUUUUCAUCUGUGUUAUCUAAACCAGCUCAUUAAUGAGAUCACUCUUUUUCUUAAAUAAAAUAUUCCUGCCAAACAAUUGUUGCAAAAUUUCAAAUAUAAAUUACAAACAGCAAAAUUUUCUAAAGUCAUAACAAUUAUUUAUGUUUUGAAGGGUCCAGCUAGCUUGCAACCGUGAUUUGGUACCCCAUUUUUUGUCUUUUUGUGAUCCAACCAUUAGAUCCAACCCAAAAGUUGUAAAAGCUAUUCCAACGGCAAGGAUGCAAUUACUUAGUUAUUAACGCUGAAGCCCCUCUUGUUUCAUAAAAAAAAGAAAAGGUUAAAUUUCAAGAUUUUGACACAUAAGUCCAUCAAAAUAUUUUAUGAUUUUUAUAUGAGUCCAGGUAAUUUAAUAAAUGAAUAUAUUUAGAUAUACAAAAAUAUGGAUGGAUUAUUUUAACUUGCUAAAAUACUCCCCACAUCCAUUUAUUUAAAAUAUCAAUUACAAAAAAUCCCAUUUUUUAGUAUAAUUUUUUUAAAAAUAAAAUACCCAUUUAAUGUUUUACCAUUUAAGAUAGUGUUACUUAUAAGGAUAAAUAAUUAUUUUAACUAAAUAAAUGAAACUUAACUUUUAUUUCUAUAAAUUUGCUCAACAUCAUAUAACCUUAUAAUUGUUAGCAUAAGAUAUAAAUUUAGUCUAAAAAAUUUAUUCAAAGGGUCCCCUUAGGGCAAAAAAUUAAUUAUCAUAUGAUAAUUUGGUUGGCACAAACUCUAUUAUUCUUAAUUUACUUAUCCAUGCCAAACACUAUAUUGGAAUUAAAUUUUAGUAAAAUAAACAUAUGUCAACAUCUUUAACCGCAUUCAACUGACCCUAAUUGUUUAGAUUUUGUUAUAGAGAGCAAGAUAUAGUUCUUUUCUUAUUAUAGUAGUAAAAAUAAAUAAAAAUAAACACAAUAGAUUUCUUUUAAGAGAAUGCAAGCAUUAUUUUUAUGAGAUUUUGUGUUCAAGAAAUUAAUCUAAUUAUGUGGUUAGAAGACUCUCUAUUUUGUGAUAUUUUAGAAGAAUUAUAUGUUGGAUAAAUGAAUAAAUUAAGAUCAAAGCAAAACAAAAAUGAUUGAGAAGAAAACCGAGAGAGAAUAAUUUUUUAAAUUUUAAAAUUUUCAUUUUUUAAUUGGGGUUUAUUUUGUAAAAUUAUUGCAAUUUAUAGUUUUUAAUAUUACCAAAAACAGUAGAGAUUGCUAAAGAAAAUGCCAAACAAAUUUUUUAGAAUUAUAAAAUUAUUAUAUUUUAAUUAGGGCUUGUUGUGUAAAAUUUUUAAAAUUUAUAGUUUUUAUUAUUUACCAAAAACAAUGAGGAUUGUUAAAGAAAAUGUCAAAAUUGGGUGUUUGGUAUAACGGAGGCAAAGUAGUUUCGUCCUGUUUUGAAUACAUGUAACUAAACCACAUUGAAAGUUGUCAAAACAGGAGGACCUAAUGUUAGUAAAAUUAUUUUUCAAGCAAAUGCAGUGACGAAUUUGGUUUCAUGUUUCACCCUCGAUAACUUAAUUUUCAUAUCUAACAAAUCAUCCAUAUUAUUAACAAUAUCAUCACCAACCAUAAUCUACCUAAACAUAAACUAAACAUAACACAUACAUAUAACUAUAUACAUACCGAAUCAGGAAAACAAUGAGAGCUACACGUAUCCGGCUCCACAAUUCCUUGUUGAUACCCUUGUGCUUCUAAAAUUAUCAACCAAUUAUAAAAAUUAGCUUAGGCGCAACUUUACCCCUUUUUUUUGGAAAACUUAACUAUAAAUAAAGUAUACAAAUCUCUAAAUUAACUUUUUUCCCAUGAAAUUCAGCAUAAAUAGAAAUAGAAUUAUAGAAAUCUUACUUCCUUUUAUGAGAAAUCCAACUUAUAUAUUUGAGACCUCUCUCUCUAAGCACGCGCUUCCUCUCUCUGUAUACUUUCCACCUUUAAAUUCUCCUCAUUAAAUCUGUCUAAAUGAAUUUAGCAGUCUCCCAGUUUCUUUAGCAUUUUUCUCCGUGAAAAUAAGUGAAAAGCGAAAGUGAUUUGAUUAUUUUAAUGUAUGACAGAUCUGGUUUCCCAUCUCCGUAAUUUAAGUGUAUCAAAUUGUCGAGUCAGUCAAAUAUAAAAGACAAAUUACUAAACCAAGCAGAGCCAAAAAAAAAAAAAAAUUCCAAUUAAAUAAUCAUCAAGUCUUUUUCAAUUAAAAUAGGGAGUGCAGAACAACUGUCGAGAGAUAAUCAUUGUUUAUGGAGCCAUAUUAUAUUUUCGAUUAAAAUAUUUGCGCGUGAACAAUUGGCAGAAUUCGUAUAAAUUGUUGUAAGGUCUAUUAUAAUUAACAAGCGGAAUGGCCAAUGGAUGAAGAACCACUGUAAUUUCGUUUAUGAAUUUAAAAUGCUAAAGAAACUGGACAUCAACGCUAAAUGUUAGCCUGCGGUCCUUGCCUCAGUUUCUUUCAGGCGUUACUCUGGGUAGUUGAUAUACUGACCGUCCCUUUAUCAAUUAAUAAUCGAAAUAGGUUAAAAUAUGAAUGGAUUGGAAUGGUAUGACUUGGAAAUGGGAUGACAAUCAGAUUAAUUUAUUCAUUUAAACUGAGAAAUUAGAAUCAAAAUAAAUUAUAUUGUUAUUGAUAUAUUUACUUUAUCUUAAAAUUAUGAUAAGUUGUUACGAGUUAUUAAUAUGCCUUAUUUUUUAUUAUAAUAAUUAUUAUUUAUUAUAACAUUUUUCAUAUAAUAAUAAUAAUAAUAAUAAUAAUAAUUAAUAUUGAAAAAAUUUUAUUGUUAAUAAUAAAGUAUCAUUAGAGUACUAGACAAGCUCACCACGUCUAAGCUAAGUGAAGAAAUAGACUUCAUCAACAAAGCUUUUGUGAAUAUGCGUUACAUUACAACUGCGAUAUCCUUUCACUGUAUAUUCAUACAGUGGCAGGCCAUGUGACAUUGUGACCCAUGUGCUAGCUUUCACUAGUCAUAUUAUUUUUUUACACGGUGUUUAACAAAAUCUUCACGUAAAGAUUUCAGACGCGUGAUCCUAAUUCAAUAUGCAUUAUUUAUUUAUUUAUAAAAUGAAAAUAAAAAGAUAAAAGGAUGUGACUUAACUUGCUAUCAGUGCGGAUCCAGGACUUAAUAUUAUUUCGGGUUAAAUUUUAAAAUUUAUAUUUUGAAGUGAACAUAAAAAUUUAUAAAUAAAAAGAAGUAUAUUAAAUGAGGGGAGACAUGGAGAGCUUUAUCCCUAUGAAUAUGUAUUAUAAACAAAAAUAAUUAUAAGAAAAGAAUAGAAACCAAAAGGCAAUUCAAAUAUCAAAACACUAUUUUUCAAUUAUGAAAUCCGACAUUGCAACCUAAUAACAUGUAAUUAUAUAAGGAUUAAUAAAUCAAUUAAGAAUUUCAAACUAAAUUAGAUCAGUACAUGUAAUUAAAAUUAAUUAAAGAUUUCAAGUAAAACUUUUAUGUUUGAAGUCAAGUACUAAAUUACCAAGCUUAAAUAAAUUUAAAAAAUUAAAAUUCAUUCAUUCUUUCGAAUUAUAAAAGUAUCAUUAGUCAAAAGUUUUAGUAAUAAACUAAACUCAAUUCAACAAAAAGUUAUUUGGAUAUCGUUGUUUCAUUGCCAGUGCACUGACUUUCUUUAUAGAAGUAUAUGUUAAUGAUUCUUCUAUUAAAGCUCUUCAAAAUACCUAAAUUUUAUUUUCUAACUUCUUCUCGUAGUUAAUGUAACUAAUAAAUAGAAUCUGAAAAUUCACAUAAAAUAUUUAUGAAAAUGUUGAUAAUUGUUACUAUAUGUUGUUUUCGUAAGUACUUUUAAUGCUAGUAACGAUGUUAUAUUACAUUGAUUUAUAUUUUUUUCAAUUAGAAGUUUUUUAAAAUAAAUUAAAGCAAUAAUAAUAUUUUAGCUCCCUAAUGUUUUCAAUCUAUCCAAUAAGUAUAUAAUUUAAUCAUUUUAUAAAAUAAGUCACUAAUUUCAAUUGGAAAUAAUACAAUUGAAUUAGGGACAUAUUUGAAUAUAAAAUAAUAGCUCAAUUGUUAUACUAAAUUGAUGAAAAUAUAAGGGUAAUUGAGUUAGGAAAAUAUUUGAAUAUAAAGUAAAAACUUUAUUGUUAAACUAAAUUGAUGAAAACAUAAGAAUACUUGAGUUAGGGACAUAUAUGAAAACAAAAUAACAACUCUAUUAUUAUAAAAAAUUUAUAAGAAAACAAGGUGUAUAAAUGAUUUUUUCUGUUCUAGACCAAGCUACAGCCUAGUCUAGCCAGCUGUAGGUCUCCCACUACUUGCUAUUUACAUACAGACAUGUGGCCCUUAUUCUAAUAUCUAUAGGAAAAGACACCUAUACUCCAAGAUUUGAAGAAAGAUUUGAAGAAAUAGUCACGUAGAUCUCUAAGUUUUCAGUAACCACAAUUUCUCUUUGACUAUAAUAUUUUUUGUACUUAGAAAAAAAAAUGACUUUAGAUUUUUUUAAUAAAUAUAAAUAUAAGUUAAAUAGUUUAAUUUGUCUAAUAGACUAAUAAUAUUAGAAUAUUUUUAAUAUAUAAAAUAAUUUUUAAAUAAAAAAUAUUAUAUUUAUUUUAAUAAUAUAUUUUUAUUUAUCAUAAAAAUAUUAAAUAAAUCUUUGGGGUUAAAUAGAAUUUAAAAUUAAUAAAACACAUCUCAUUAAUAAAAUAUAUCUCAUGUACUAAUAAUAUUGAAAUUAUUUUAAUAUAAAAUUUAUUUUAAAAUAAAAAUAAAUUUAGAAUAUUGAAAAAUUUUAUAAAAUUUAUUUUAAUAUUAUGUUCUUAUUUAUUAUAAAAUUUAGUCUAAUAUAAUGUAAGAUUGUAAAGUAUAAAAAUAUUUUCCUAAAUUGAAGUUGUUUUAAAAUGUUAAUAUUUUAUGUUUAUUUCAAUAUUAUAUUUCUAUUUAUUAUAAAUCAUAGGAGUCAAUUUUUUUCAGUUAAUAGAAUCAAAGGGUAUUAUAGUCAAAAGAGGUAUUGGUAUUCCUUAUUAAAAAUUUAGGCGUCUACAUGACUAUUUCCCAAACCUUAGGGUGUAACUUUCUUUUCUCCAAAAUUUAUGAUUCUCUGUAGGUAUUUCAUGAAGGAAAACGAUAUUUACACUGAAUCAAAUCCCGAACUAAUUAAAAUGCACUAUUUCAGCUUAAAUAAUGGUAAAUAUUUGUUUAGUCUCUAUAUUUUGAAUUAAGUACCGUUUAGUCCCUCAAGACACCUUUUUCAGUAAGCACAAUAUAAUCCUACCCUUACUUUUUCUUUGAUUCUAUAAUAACAUGCUUGCAACAAUAUUUUUAGAUAUGUUAAUGUAAAGAAAAAUUUAAAUUUAUCAAAUCAGCCUUAAAAGAAAAAUACAAAUUAGUUGUUAUUAUUAUUAAUAAAAUAAUAAAAUAAUAAAAUAAUAAUAACAAUAAUUAACAUUAAUUAAAAUAAUAAAGUUAAUAUAUUAUAUAAAAAAUAAUAUUUACAUUUAUCAAUUUUUCAUGUGUUCAAAAUUUUUUAUGUGAUAUUACAUUAUUAUCUUUACACCAUCAAUCAUUUUUAUGAUCAAGUUAGGCUAAUGGAUCAAACUUUAAAAAAUUUAAAACAAUAGGAGUUAUAUAAAUAAAUAUUUAAAAAAUUUUGUUUUUAUGAUAUUAUAAUAAACGGUAGAGACUUAAGUGUUAAUAACCAAUUGAACACGUUGAACACUUUAGCUAUUAGAUCUGGCUAAAUUAGAAAAAGACAAAAUUUAGGGUACCGUGCAACUGUUGCAAGGUAGGCGGACCCGUUAUAUUUAAUAUAGAAUAAAUAAACUAAAUAUGUGUAAAGAAUCUAGGUUAGUAACCUUGCAAUACUUCAGAAAAUUAUAAAAUACAAAAGGUGAAAUUUCAAAAUAAGGAAUUGUAAAAAGUGUUAGGUUCUAAAAUUUUAUUAUUUUAAUAUUACAAAAAUUUACUUUUUUAUUACAUUUUUAUUUUUAAUAUUAGUUGACAUUUUAGUUUAUUUGUAUAUAAUAUAUGUUAAUUUACCUAUAAAAUACUAAUAUUACUCUUGAAAUUUAAAGAAGUCAUUUUAAUUUUUAAAAAUUUUAAAUGUAGCCCAACAAAGUCAUAGAAAUAUAAAUAAAGAAUAACAUAAAAGGAAGUUAAUUUAAUUUUUUUAAGAAUAUUUCAAAAGCAUUUGAGUUUUAUGUUUCUUGAGAAUUAUACCAUUUUUUUUUAGAUAUUUGAGCUUGUGAAACUUGUUGUAAUGAUAAUUUAUUAUUUAUUCUUGAUUAAAAAUAAUUGAAUAGUAAAUUUAUUGGCUUCUAAUUACUCUUUUAAAUGUAGGGUGGUUGCUUAAUUUUUAUUAUGUUUCCUUAAACUUUUUGAUGAUGGCUAAUCAACCAUUGCAAAAGACUCUACCUGAUUAUUGUUUCCUUAAACUUUUUGAUGAUGGCUAAUCAACCAUUGCAAAAGACUCUAGCAUGAUUAUUUUUACUUUCUCUACAUCCCUCUAGACCAUCAUCACUCAAAGAAUUAAGGGUUCACUUGGCAUACUGUAUUAUACUAUACUGUAUUGCAUUAUUUAAUAUGGGUAUAUUGUAUUAUGUUAUAUUACAUUAGUAAUAAAUUAUAAUAAUAUUUGUACAACAUUUGGUAAUUGGUAUUACAUUGUACUGCAUUAAUUUUAUAUUAAUAUUAAACUAACAUUAUUUAAAUUUAUUAUUAAUUAUAUUAAAUUAUUAUUUUUAUAUUAAUUAUUUUUAUAUAAAUAUAAUAUGAUAUAAUAAAAUAAUAUGAUAGUAUAAUUUACUUUUAUGUUUUUAUUUAUUAUAAUAAAAAUAAAAAUAUAUUUAAUGCUCAAUUAAGGUAAAAUAAUAAUAAUAACAAUAGUAUUACUUAAAAAAAAAUCUAUAAAGUUUAAUGAUGAUCAUGAUGUUGACGACAUUAAUAAUAACAUAACAAUUAAAAUAAUAAAACUAAUAAAUUUUAAUAAUGUUAAUAUUAAUAAAAUAAUAAUAACAAUAAUUAACAUUAAUUAAAAUAAUAAAGUUAAUAUAUUUUAAUAAUAGUAAUAAAAUUAAUAUUAAUGACAGUAAUAAAAUUAAUAAAUAAUAAUAUGACUUAAUUAAAAUAAUUAUAACAAUUAAAAUCAUAAAUUUUAACAAUAAUAAUAAUAAUAAUAAUAUUAUUAUUAUUAAUAUAAUAAUAAUGACAUUAAUAAAUAAUACUAAUAAUAACAUUCAAAUUUUUUUUAAAGCUAUUUUAUCCCAAAAAAGGGACUUAUAUAUAAAAUUUUGUAAAUUCUAGUGUCUAUUCAAAAUUUUCAUAAAAUAUAAGAUAGUGCAGUGUAAUUAAUAAAAAAAAGACAAAAUGAUAUGCUGCAACCGUUGCAACAUAUUUUCAUCCUUGUUUGUGAUCCUUAAUCAAUAAAAUAUCUGACAAUAUCUUCGCCAAAAGUUUAAGACAUGUGAUCCUUAUUCCACAGCGUCAAUGAAACUCCAGUCAAAUGCUGCCAUCAUUAUUGAACAGUCGAUAUCCAGCACGUGCACGAAGAUUCCAAGAAGUUGCAUGGCUAUCGACUUUUAGAUGCUAAGCCUCAUUGCGUUGAUGAUACACAAAACAGACGGUCAAGGUAAUUGCCAAAACUUAGAACUAAACAGUAGCUUAGUCAGAAAAUCAAACGCCAGUACCGGUAAAAUGACCGAUAAAAAUAUAAGGACAUAAAAAUUUUAAAGUUUUACUUUAUUGCUUUUUUAAUCUUAUUACUAUUUCUCCUUGCACUUCUAAAGAAACCAAAGCUUUAAAAGAAAUCAGCCAAAUCACAAAGAUUGAAGAGUAAAUCUAUGGUUUUAAAUUUUUAUUUUAUUUUUUUAGAUAAUAGAUAUUAUUUUGAUGAAUUUUUUAAUAUUAGAAUAAUGUUAGGAAUUCUAACAGUAGAAUUCUAACUUGGAACCCAAUUGAUAUGUGUCAUUUUUUCAUUGGAUAAUGAAUUUCAUCACUAGUAAAAUUAAUAUUUGGAUCAUCUAAUAAAUGACUACCAUAUCAAUUGGGACUCAAUUAUUGGGAUCCUUAAAAUUGCUCUUAGUAUUAUAUUGGACAUCUUAGCUAAAUCAAAUUAAAAAUUAAAUUAGAUUUUAGGCUUUAUUCAACAUCUCUUUUUGUCUUUUUUUUGGUCUAUUUGAAGUGAACGAAAUAAAAAUACAAUAGGGUCAACGACUGGGCAAUUGAUAGUCAAGUAGAAGCAAAUCAAGGCUAAAUGGGAAAGAGAAAUUAUAUUAGUGCAAAACAAGGAGAAAAACAGUGUAACAGAAGAGAAUCAAAGUGCUUUUGAGAUCAGAAAUUGAAACAAGAAAAGGGUCGCUUGAUCCAAUGAAAAUGCAAAGAGCUGACGGCAAAAGGGAAUAAAGUUAAAUAAGAAAAUAGCUAGCGCUAGCAGCAACCACAAUAAACAGAAAAUUUGAGAUGGAUUUACAAUAUUUCUGCCUUUCUUCAUGCUUUAACAAAUAUUGCUUUAUAAAAAAAAAGAAAUUGAGCGUUUUUAUUAUUGGAGUCACAAAAGACCUACACAAUAUAGCAAGUGACUGGGAAUAAAUAAAAAUAUAUAACUGAUAAGUGCAUAUUUUCCAUAUAUUUUGUUAUUAAUUUCUCCAUCUUUUUCUUGAUUUGAUCUUAAAUAUUCUAGUUAUUUUAGUUAAUUUUUAAUUAAUUGUAUUAUUUUAUUGAAUAGGGAAUUAAUUGGAGAUUGUGGAUAAAAAGGGCAUGAAGAAAUUCAAAUUGAGAAGGAAUAAGGAUUAAAUUGGAAAAGGAUUUCAAUUAGAAUGGAAAAAGGAUUUCUUUAUUCUUGUUGGAGAAGAAUUCGGUCAACUAGCUUUAUAAAAGGGGAGCUGCUGGAUGAAAAAAAAGGAGGAGAAUAUUCGGCAGCCAAGAGGAUUUGAGGAACUAGCAGCCGAAAGAAGGAAAAGCAAGGGAGAAACCGAAAAGGAAUUGAAGAAAAAGGCAGCUGCUUGAAUUAAUCUCCAUGAUUGGUUUUGUCAAUUCUCUUAUUUCCAAUUCAAUUAUGUUAGGCUAGAUUUUUAUUUGGUUGAGGGUGAAUUCAAAACCCUAAACAUGCUAUGCAAUUAAAUUUAAAUUCUAUCAUUUAAUUUAUUUAAUUGAGAUUGUUUAUGUUCUUCUAUAAUUAAUGUUCAUGGUUUGUUCUUGUUUUAUUUGAGUGGCCAAUUAGAUAGGACUUGAAUAAAUUUUAUUGCUAGAUUAAAAUUCUUGAUCCGUAAUUAUCUUGAUAUUUUAAUUAUUAGUAACAUGUUGGAAUUAGUGAUUUCAAUUAAAGAACAUAACCUAGGUUAAAUAAUCCGAGCUUGUGUGUUUAUUGCCUAGAUCAACCUAAUAUCUUUCUCUGUUUAAUGCUUCCAUUAUCUUAAAUUUAAAGAGCUUGUUUUAAAUUAUUUAAUGGUUAGAGAUUAGGUGAAGAGCUUAUUUUGCCUAACGACACACUAAGGAAAGAUUGAGACUAACAGAGCUUAUUGUUGUCUACGGUUGAUAGUUUUAAUAUAAAUUAAUGAUAGAAUUGAUAUAUUAUGUGCAUGUUUGGUGGUGGCGAAUGAUCCUUUAACCAAAGUUUUCAUCAUUAAUAUUUCUUUCUCCUUUAAUUAGAGUUUUUAUUAAAUUCUUGUUCGUAGUUUUAAUUUCUUUACUUCUUACUAUUUAGUUAAAAAUUCAUAAACCCCCUCUUUUAUUUAUAAUUGGUAAUUUCCUUAGUUAGAUUAAUUUAUAUUAUUAUUACUACUAUUAUUUUAUUUUAAAUCUUGCUUUAGAGUUGAUAAUAAAUAUAACUACAUAGUCUUUGUGGGAUCGAUCCUUACUCGCUCUGUACUAAUUAUUUAUAUUAGUGGUAAGGUUAUAAAUUUGGUGCACCUUAACGACACUACCAAAUUUUUGUAACUCUCUCUCUAAUUCUCACUCUAGCUUUUAAUUGUCACUCAAAACCCAGAAUUCAUCCUUAAAGUGUAAGCAAAUCAGAGAUGACAACGUCUGGCUGUCAUACGUGCCUUUUAGUUUUCGGAUGACAUGGCGUACACUUCUUCUGUAAACCGAACACGACAUGUCGUACUCUUUGUUUUGAGAUCAUAUUUCAAACUCUUCAUGCUAUGAAUGAAAGAUAAACUACAAUCAUAAACAUAUUUAGUGUUUAUUUGGUAAUGUAACGUUAUAGUUGUUGUGAAUUGAAAUUAUUUCUGUAAAAUAAAAGGAAUAUUUAUAAUAGUAUAAAAGGAAUAUUAAUAGAGGAUGUAUUAAUAUAAAAUUUGUUUAUUGGUGUUGAAGUUAAUUAUCUCAUUAAUAAUACUAUAAAAAUUUUAAUUACUAAGAAACACAUAGCAGUAGUUAAUUGGUGUCAUAUUAUUGGGAUUCAGGGAUAUAAUUUUAUAUCAUAACUUUGUAAGUGUAUAAUUACUCAUUAAAUUAAGAAAAUUAUUUAAAAAUAUUUAGUUGGAAAAAAUAAAUUAUAUUCUUUUUAUUUCAAAUAAUCUAUAAGUUAACUCAAAACAUAAUCAAGCUGAGAAUUAAAAUAAUGCUACUAUAUGAGAGGAUUUUUAUUUUUUCCCGAAGUUUCACUAGGAAAUUAUUGAUAUAUAGCUUUAUUCGGAUCAUCUCAGUUCAAACAACAAAUAAUUGAAAGACUAAGCUAAAUAGACCAGCCAACAACUUUGUGCAAGAGAGUUCAAAAAUUAAGGUCAUGGUAUUGAGGUGUUCUGUCUUGAAAAGUACAGCAUAGUGAUAAAAUAAAAACUAUUAAUCUAUGGUAAGGUAUGACUUUUAAAUAAUAAUUUUCACAAAAAUACAAAGAAUAUUUAUAAAGUACUUCUAUAGUGAGGAGAUCCUUACUUUGUUAAAGUAAAAAUAUCAAUAAUAUAAAAAAACAUAUAUUUUAACACAUUAAGAACUGUAUUUUCUUAAUCUAUUGGUGUAUUGAAAUAUGUGUUAUUUAGUUUGUUAGUGACAUCAUCACUUUGUUAAAAUAAAGAUGUCGUCACUAGAGAAUCAUUAUAUAUACAUAUAUAUAAAGUGUUUCUCUCCAAAACCUAGACUUUAUUAAAAUUUAAGAAAGCAAAUAUAUUUUAUAUGGUAUAAUAGUGUAAUAACAUCACACAAUUAUAUCAUAUAGAGUAAUAGUUUUUGGAACUUUAAUAAAGUUCAAGAUUAUAGAAUGAAUGAUUUAUAUAUAUUAUAAUUUUUUUAUCAUAGAGUGGAGGACAAAAUUAACAUAUUUUCUAAAUUAUAAUAAGUAAUUAUCAAAUAAUUUAACAUUGUAUUUCUCCUAACUAGUAUAGUAAAUAUGACCUAGGAGGUACAUUCAAAGCAUUUCAUAAGUUAGUUGUUAAUAAUAAAUGAUACAUGCAGCUCCAAUCAUCAUUGUACGGUGAGUAAUUUCCAGUUAUAAAUAGAUAUUACUCCCUUCUCAGCAAUUUUUUAUGGCUUAAUUUAGUGGGAUCAAAUCAAAAUCAACAUUGAAUAGUCAAAAUAUUAAUGACCAAACAGACCCAGAUAGAAUAAUAUUAAAUGUAGUUAUCUCAAACAAGAUAGAAUAAUAAUUGAUAAGGUAGGUGUAUGAGUGUGUGUGAUGUGUACUCUUUAUGCCAUUGUGUAUAUAUAUAUAUUUGUUUUUUUUUUCUAUUUCGCGUGGUUCCACCAUGCAUAAUUGAAGGGCUUCAAAUUCUUAAACGUUCGGUCACCGAAAUUGAAAUCCCAAUGGAACAAGUAAUUAAGCAUGUUAAUUCAACAAGAUUCACUCCCUUUAUUACUUAAAAGUUAUUUUCGCUUUUGAUAUUGAUACUUAUUUUUACAUUUGCAUGCACUAGGGCAGACGCGAAGCUAAAGGUGGGCUAACCCAGGCAGCAGCCUCGGUUAGCUUUUUGAAAAAAAAUAAUUAAUUAUAAUUUAUAAAUUUAUUUUAUUAAUAUAUAUAAAAAAUAAAAAUAAAUCUAAUAUUUGAUAAUAUUUUUCUUAUUUACAUUGUAUUUUUAUAAUUUUAUGGUUAGAUUUUUAUGUAUAUAGUGUGCUUAAUUUCGUUUAUAUAAAACAAAUUUUUUGAAAAGUAAAUUUCAUUUUUUAAAAAAAUCUAGCCCACCCAAAAAAAUACGCUAGCUUCGCCACUGCACUAGGGACAUAUUAAUCAGGUGGGUUAUAUUACAACCAGAGGAUUUAAAUUUGAUUUAAGAUAUGUGGGGUCUGCUUUUGGAUUUAGAAAAUUUGCCCAUUAAGAGUUGAAACCAAGUGACCUACCGUUAGAUUAGAUUAAUAGUGAUUUCUUGUAGUAAACAUUUGUGAAUUUGAAAUAUGUGAAUUCUAUCCUGGUGAUACAAAACAAGCUUCUUGUACACGAGAACUAUUUGUUUUUAUGAUUUGGAAACCAAUCUAUAAAGAUGAAUUAAGUUGGCAUAAUGGUACAAAGCAACUUUAAUUUUUCAAUAAAUUCAAAAGUUGGCAGGUUGGUUGUGAUUAUUAUCUUUUCUUUUUUACUAUUUAAACUACAAUUAAUUGAAUCCAAAGACUAAAGGGUUGGAUCGAGAAGAAACUAAUUUUAAGUAGACAUUCCGGCGAAAAUCACUCCCAUGAUCGAGACACUCAUGCAAUCAAUACAAAAAAUGGACACAAAAAUUGUCUACUUAAGUUUGGUUGAAUGAUUUUAAAAAUAGUUUUAUUUGUUUCACACUCGAAUUUGUAUUUUGAAAAAGAGUGGGAGUUAAAAAUUGAUUUACACUUUAUCAAUUACUCUAUUUUAAAAAGAAAUAAAUAUUAAAAAAAUAAAAACAUUAAUUUCUUGUUUGUUUGUACUUACCAUUGUAGGAUAAAUAAAGUGGUUGACAAAAAUUAGAUAUCUUAAAAAUAAAUUCUAAAUUUAUAACUAAUGUAUAAUGAUUUCAAUUCACAUGUUUCAAUCCCAAAUAAAUUCUCCUUUGGUUAUUUGAAUCUUAGCACGGUAAGAUUUCAUUCUCUUGUAUGCAUUUGUGUAAACUUCUCCCUUUACCUUUAUCAUUUUAUCAACUGUAUUGAUUGCCAAACAACUUUAGGGUUUAGGCAUGAAUCACACAAGGGAAUGAUAUUGUGGCAAUUUUUUCCCCCUUCUUUCUUCUUUUUGAAAAAAAAAAUUAAUUAUAGCUUUGCUUUGAUGGGUAGAAGACUAGAAGACCAAUUAAUUUCUUUUUGUUGCGUGGUGAUAAUAAUGGUGAAAAUUGCUAUGUGCGUGUUGGUGAUUGCAUUGCUAAUCACAUAUUGCUUCCCAUCAUGGAGACAAAGGGGACCCCUCUAUCAAAGCUAGCUGUUGAAAUAUCAUACCCAAAAUCACAUGAAUUCAAAGGUUGAAUGGGAAAACGAUCUUGCUUCUUUGUAUGUUUUAUUUUAUUUAAAGACUUAUUUUUCCCAUAAGAGAUAAGCUUGGAUCUAUCUUUCCUUUUAAUCAUUUUAGCCUCCAACUCCCAUCUUUUUCAAAAGUUUCGUUUAGCCCAUUUUGAAUGGCAAGGUAAGCUUCAAUCAACGCUACAAGUUCUAGUGAUUCCCGUCAAUAUUCGAUUGCAUGUAUGUAGCUUUGAAUGCUCAAAUUUAUUUUAUUUAUUAGUUGUUAUCACUUAUCAUUUUCUUUUUAAUAAUGAGAUUUGGGCAUUUUCUUUUUAAUAAUGAGAUUUGGGUCCCUAGAUGGUGAUUAGCCAACAGUCUAGUUAUGAGAAAUUAAUGUCUUAAUUACAAUGACAAAAAAAGGCAAGUGGGGAUCUCAUUUGCCAUUAGGUAACACAACAUCUUCAGCAUUGGAGCUUUUCUUCCUUUCUCUCCUUCUUUCUUUCUUUCUCAAAAUAAUUGAAAAUCUAAUGCAAUACAAUUAAAUUGAUCAACGAUCUAAUUUAAUCAAUACAUUAUAUUAAGAUAUUUAAAAUAAAAUCGGUUCAAAUGGAAUGAGAAAUUCUACUCACAAAAUAACAACAUUUAUUCCCGAAUUCAAAUAACCUUGGAUUCCAAAUGCAUUCAAGACUAGCCAGGCUGCAUAUCCAAGAAGAAAACAAAAUCAAAACUUUAGCCACAAACAUAUACGUGUGUGUGUAUGUGUGUGUGUAUAUAUGUGUGUGUGUGUCUGUGUAUAUAGAGAGAGAGAGAGUUCUUUCACUAGGUUCAUUUGCGUGAAACUUUUUGAUCAUUUAGGUUUAAGACUAUAUCAUAUAUCCUAUUGCAUGAACAUUGAUUAAUAUGAAUGAGUCAAACCCACUAAGCUUGUAACAAAAUCUUUUCAUAGUUACUAGAGAAUAUUUAUAUUUUUUUCAAACAUUAAUAAAAUUAUUGAAUUGCUUUAUUUAUAGUAUGUAUACAAUUAAUAGUGUAUGGAUUUUUUUAUCUAUUGGUAUAUUGAAAUAUGUGUUAUUUAGUUUGUUAGUGAUAUCAUCACUUUGUUAAAAUGAGAAUGUCCUUACUAGAGAAUCAUUAUAUAUACAUAUAUAAAGUGCUUGUGCUUCUAUCCAAGACCUAGAUUUUAUUAAAAUUUAAUAAAGCAAAUAUAUUUUAUAUGGUAUAAUAGUGUAAUAACAUCACACUAUUAUAUCAUAUAGAGUAAUAGUUUUUCGAUUUUUUUAAAGUUCAAGAUUAUAGAAUGAAUGAUUUAUAUAAAUUAUAAUUUUUUUAUCAUAAAUGGAGGCGAAAAUUAACAUAUUUUCAAAUUAUAAUAAGUAUUUAUCAAAUAAUUUAACAUUGUAAUUUCUCCUAACUAGUAUAGUAAAUAAUAUGACCUAGGAGGUACAUUCAAAGCAUUUCAUAAGUUAGUUGUUAAUAAUAAAUGAUAUAUGCAGCUCCAAUUAAUCAUCAUUGUACGGUGAGUAAUUUCCAGUUAUAAAUAGAUAUUACUCCCUUCCCAGCAAUUUUUGAUGGCUUAAUUUUGUGGGAUCAAAAUCAACAUUGAAUGUCAAAAUAUUAAUGGCCAAACAGACCAGCUGCCAACAACUUAUUCCAAUGUGAGUAGUUCACAGUGGGUACUGCACAUGAUGCUUGUUUCUCCUUUUGCAUCUAUUUUUGUUGUUAACAUUAAUUUCAAUAGCAGCUCUUUAAUCCCAAUUGUUGAUUUGGGACUAGAUAAGAAUUUAUCUUGGAACUCCAAUUCUCCCAAUUAUUUUAGUUGACAAUAUGUUUAACAUUAUUUUUUUAACAUUAUUAAUUACAUAUUAUUUAAUUAUCAGUAUAUAAUAUUCUUUAAUUUUCUAAUUUUAUAGGAUUAGACACAAAAUUGAUUAUGCCUUUUGAAAUUUAAGGGUUAUGUCAAUUGAAUAGAAAACUUGGAGUUAAACUUGUGGAUGUUUUUGUUGAUUAUCAAUUUAUGCAUGAAUUUUUGUACGUUUAUUUGGCUUAUUAUUAUUACUUUUAAACAUUUUUAUUGGUUUGAUUUAGGGUCAGUUUGGUAAUUCUAUAGCUUUUAAAAUAAUUACAGUUAGCUAUGCUGUAGAAAUUGAUCAAUCGUCAAGAGAAUCAGCUGAACAUUUAGUAAAAUUUAUUUUUAAAAGUACUUUUAGUUUUAAAAGCGUCGCAUGUGUUUCGUAAGUUAUAUACAUUGCUGAUUCUAUAUUAAUAAUGUUAUGUUCUAUUUUCAGAAAUUAUAAUACAAAAGUUUUUACAAUGGCGUGCAUCUACAAACUGAAUUGACUUGUAGAAUAAGAGCUUGGAGUAGUGUUAUGUUCUUGAAUAAAUGAAAGUUCAUAUGGUGUAAGAGCAUGUAGAUGUAAAGUGUCAUUACCAUUUCUAUAAAGGACUUUCAUUCUGUUCGGAUGCUCCUCUUGAACUCUGAAGGGUGCUUCAUUCAUAACACACAUAAUUUAUGCCAGGGAAGAGAAGAUGCCAAAAAAGUUGAAGGUGAUCAUUCAUAACUUUUCAGAAAGUUGUUGCAAAACAGAAAUCACCCAUCACGAUCGGUCGUACAAGUGUCUGCUACGAGUGCAGCAAAACGUUUGUCACGCUAGUUGUGCUAAAUGGACCUCUCCUGUGUGCCUCUAAAAUCAAUGCAUGUGAUCAUGUCGGUGAUUCAAUGGCUGGUGGGGAUGAGUCCACUCAAAUUCUGAAACUAAUCAGGUGAAAUAUAAACCCUUUUUGUCUCCUUCUUUAAUUGUAUGUUUUACUAUCCAUGUUUUACCCAAAAAAAUUGUAGGUUUACACUUUGCAAUCAAAUUUUGUAGUUGUGCUUUUUUCUUGCUUUUAUCCUAAUAAGCAAAAAAUCUAAUUAAUCCUAAUUAAAGGUGUUUUAAAAUUUAAAUAGAGAAAGUACCAUUGAGAUUUGAGAGAAAAUGAAUCGAUUGAUUUACUUCACAGUAUGAAUACACAGAGAGUUCGCUUGCUUUAUAUGCAGUAAUCUAACCAACUUGUUAACUAAGCUACUAUUCCCAGCAAAUCAAGCUAACCAAUCCCACUACUCAGCUUGUCUACUACAGAUCACAGAACCACUUGGGCUGAGCCGUAAUUCCAUGUCAUCAGUCUGUGCAACAACCUCAUUGAUCACUUGUUGUGCUGACUAUCGAACAACAGUGUGCCUCUUUAACAUAAUAGACUAAGCUCGUAUGCAUAGGAAUGGAUCUUUUAUUAUUGUCAUUAACUAUCUGUCCCUAAGGGUUUGGUUGAGUGAUUUAUUCCUUUAGUUGGCCCUCCCAAUCUUUUGGAUUGUUAUUGUCAUUAAAUAUCGGUCCCUAACUGCGUGAUGUAAGUACUUUCUAGAAGAUAUCUAAAUGGUAAAGCGACAUUACCAUUUCUAUAAAGGACUUUCAUUCUGUUCAGAUGCUCCUCUUGAACUCUGUAAUUCAGAUCCUAGCUAUAACUACUAGCUUUGAUUAAUUAAUUUCCUGUACUAGCUGAAACAGAUUUAUUUAUUUAAAUAAUUGUGUAUGUACUAAUUAUAAUGAAAGUAUAUGAAGAAAUUUUUUAACAUGAAUGACUUCUAAAUGACUUAAAAACCUAAACAAAUAAUGCUCAUUUCACUUGAACGAGCCUAUUAAUACUUGUAUGUCUAUGAUUUUUAAUAUUGGCUUAAGCGUUUCAGUUAAAUGGUUUACAUAAGAGGGAAAAAAAUUUAAUGGAAAACUUUAGAGUUCUAACAGAAAUAUAAUUGACUAUGCAGAUAUAGUUAUUUUAUGGUAUACAAAUCAUGUUGCCUUAAUCUCAAUGUCCUAUGACCUAUUUUAUUUUAUAUAGUCAUUCCUUUUGGCCAUGGCUUUUUGUUUUUAUGAGUACGGAAAUAGUGGGAUUUGGUGUAUCUUAGCAUCUUUGGAAAAUUCUCUUUAAAUGUGGCAAACAAAAAUAUACAUAUAAUCAAGUUUCUUAAUCAACUAUCAUAACUGGCUAGCUAGUUCUUGCCUGCCUUGCUGCCAUUACCCAGGCCAUUACAUUGCAUAGCAUAAGGAAUAGUGAUUAGGUGAUUAUUAGUGACUCGUUGAGCUUAUUAUUGACCAAACAAAUAUAUUUGCCUUUACCCACAACUUAGUUUGAUUAGUUAUUAGACCAUAAAGAGCGUAAAUCUGUUCAUUGGCUUUGUUAUUUUUGUUUGGUUUUUCUUUCAACAAUACUGUUAAUUUCUUAUAAAAAUAUUCAUUGGUUUUUAAACACCUAAUCAUUGGCUAUAAUGAAGCUAAUUGAAACUGAGGCUUUGGAUCAAUUCCUUCUGGCAAGAUACAAAUGAGCAUAACCUAUAUCCUCUAAGUAAAUUUUUCUAAUAUGCUUGAUUUGUUAGUAUCCGGAGGCUUGAAUCCUCUAGAUUUUUUUAACACUGUCAAUGUUCUUUUUACUCUGAAAAGGGAAAAAAAAGGUUAUAUCUUUCAUACCCUAAUAAUAAGUUGUCCUUGACUUAACAUGCCUUCCUGAGGAUUUGCAAGAUUCACAAGCAGCUCAACAACACCCCCCCCCAAAAAAAAGCAAAUACGAAGAUUUUGCAAGAUUCACAACCAGGUUAUAUUUAAUUUAUUAAUUGUGUGCACGUACUAGUUAUAUGUUGAAAGAAUAGGAAAAAGUAUUUUAACAUGAAUGACUUAAAACUUAUUGCUCAGUAAACUUAAUCUGCAUCAGUGCUAGAUAAUGUAUUUAUUGUUUGUAUUUUUUAUGGAUUUGCUUAAGAAAUGAUAUGCGAAAUAAUGCUAUAUUGUAUUAGGAAUAAAUUGAAGAGAUUUAUGAUAUUUAUGUGUUUUUAAAUUUCAGAUUGAAUUUUAAACUUUCAAUACAUGCAUUGAAAGCUUAGAUCGUUUAAGAAAUUAUUAAUAGACACAUGUUUUAUUAGUGUCAUCUUUGGAUGAUAGCGAGGAUCAUAUGUCUAUUAAUAAUUCUUGAAUUGUCUAGGCUUGAACUGUUUGGGAAUGCAUAGUUUUCUACGGUGGCUAGUAGCUGAAGUUUUUUUCCCACGUAAAAAUGGGUUUUUCGCUAGCUACUUCUCAUCUUCUUUGGGUGCAUACUAGAUAACACAUACACACUCAUAUAUCUAUGUCGUGUGCUAGGAGAACUAUUGGGAGAUGCUGCCGAAAUUCCUAUAAACGUAGAAGAAAACUUUAAAGUACUUGAGAUUGAAGAGACUUAUGCAUUCUUGAGAGGGAUAUAUGGGACCACUUACCUUUUGUAAAUAUGAAGGGAGUGUUGGACAUAUUGAUGGGAGUGAAGGAGCUGAGUUGGAUGGAUGUAAUUGGUUAUGGUUUUGCUGAGUUAACUUGGUUUUGACCUAGUAGUUUUGUUUAUAAAUGGAGUACUAUCUCCAAUGUUGGUUUAUAAAUAUGUUUCAGCUGGCUGACCUAAUUUUUUGUUUCUAGGUAACAGGCUUUAUAUCUGUAAUUGAUAGCCAACCGAAGUUCUCAGCUGUGGGUGAGGAUAUUUCUUUACAGAAGGUAUUG